rnacentral:lncRNA from 1 species
GCAAAGCAUGGUAGGGGCUCUCCAGAUCCACUACCUCAAACCAGAUCGCUUCUUGGUGAAAAUGAUCCUUGUCUCCGAAGAGAACAUCCAUCUUGAUCUUGCCGAUCGGGGAACAAGACAAACCGGGCACGAUGCCAUGGAACACGGUCCGGCUUGGCAUGAGCUGCUUCGCCUUGAUGUUCAGCUUCUCCAUGGUAUCGCGGUACAGUAUAUUGAUACUGCUUCCGCCAUCAAUCAGGACGCGGGAGAAUCGGGCAACUCGCCUCUCCGUCGCGAGGGUGACAUCCAAGACUAGUGCAUAGGAGCCAGGGGAUGGCAUCACCUCUGGGUGGUCGUCCUGGCUCCAGUUGAUGGGCUUCUCGGACCAGUGCAUGAACUCGGGAGCGUUAGAGGCGACUGCGUUGACCUCUUGAUGCUGACGGCGCCGACUACGCUUGUCUUCAACUUGGCUUGUGAAGACGACGUAGGCGGCGUGCUCUUCAGGGAACUCAUCUUGAAUGGCUCCGACUACUGGCCGAGCCGCCGGCUGCUGGGGGGCUGGAGGCGGCGGGCCGGGGGGCGGAGGCGGCACCAGCCCCUCGCCCUUGGAGAUUCGCGUGAGCCAGUGGCACUUUCGGGUCGUGUGGUUGGACGGCUUCGCGCCGCUGUGGAACUUGCAGGGGGCGCCGAGAGUCUGCUCGUAGGAGAAAGCCGGCUGCCAAGCCGGCCUGCCACCCUUCUUCUUGGGAGCAGGCCAUUCUUCGGGUUGCUCAUCUUCAACUGUGGCCAUCUGCCGACUGGUGGAAGGCGGCAUAGGGGCCUUGCGCUUGUGGUCGUUCUGGUAGGGGCGCCGAUUGGACUCGCUAGCCGGCGUCUUGGGAGCCGGAGCGAUCACCUUCCCAGAGGCGUCCACUCGAAGCUCGGUCUUCAUCGAGGAGUCGGCCGUGGCGUACUUGUCCGCAAUGAUCAGCAAUUCGUCGAGGGUAGCCGGCUCGUCGCAGAGGAGUCGGUGCUUGAGGAGGGUGCCCUCUCGGCACCCAGCGGUGAAGUACUCGAUGGCCUGAACCUCGUGCACCCCCUCGCAGGAGUUGCGGAGCUCGGCCCACCGCGUGAGGUAGUCGCGGGUCGACUCGUUGGGCCCUUGGACGCAUAGGGAGAACUGGCGAGGCUUGGGAGGCCGCUUGUACGUGCUGGUGAAGUUGUGGACGAAGACUUCCGUGAAGUCCAGCCAGCUGUUGAUGCUGUAGGGCUUGAGGCUGUUGAGCCAGGUGCGCGCCGUGCCUUGCAGCAUGAGGGGGACGUAUUUCACGGCGACGCGUUUGUCGCCGUUGGCUAUGCUGACCACAGUAGAAUAGUCGAUGAGCCAAUCUUCCGGCUUCACAGAGCCGUUGUACUUGGGCGUGUCUCUGGGGAGCGAGAACCCUUUGGGGAAGGGCUCGUCGCGGAUGCGGGGGCCAAAGCAUGGCGGACCGACAUCAUCUUCUUCUUCUAGCGCCAGGGACCGAGCUAGGCGGUCGAUCUGGUGGCGGGCGUCGUUCACGCCGACUCCUUCGCGGCGGCCUAGUCGGUCGCCAAGAGUCGGAGGCGUGACAGGCGGCGGGGUAGGACGUCUCUCCCCUCGAGGCGGGGGAGGAGGCGGAUUUCCUCGGCGCUCCACCGCUCGAGGGCGGCCUUCCGCGUCGUGCUCGAUGGUGAUACGAGUCCGGCUGCGGCUAGCAGCCGGCUCCUUGUCUUUCCUCUCGCGGGCGCCGCCCGCAGUCGGCGACCGGGACGUCGCGGCGUGCUCCCGGCGCGGGGGAUGACUAUCAGCGCGGGCGCCGGCUUCGUGUCGUUCUGCGGCCGCGUCGAUCAGCUGCUGGAUCCGCCUUGUCAUGUAGGGGAGCUCAUCGGCUCCCAGCCCGUUCAGCUCUUCAGCGGCCGCCUGAGCGGCUCAUAGAUUCGCGAGCGGGGUUGCGUAGACGGGGCGAUCUGCCCCCAGCAUGCUGGCGAUAGCCGCCCCGCGCUUCUGGACGAAGCCGGCUCGGCUCGGCCCGCUAUGCGGCGGCGUACCGAAGGCGGCGCGGUCGACUUCGCGCUGGUGGGCCUCGGUGAGGCGUCUCAUGGAGGCUAUCUUCUGGCCUUCCGCGAUGAGGGCGAGGCGGCGUGCCUCCAAGGUCUCGGCGUCGGCGUCAGCCGGGAUGGGGACGGAUAAGUCGUGCAUCGCCGCUUGCAGGGUGUCGUGGGCGUUUUCGCCCGAGUUGGCGACGUGGCUGAUGACCAACACUUCGGUGACAGCGCUGCUGCCGCUGUCAGCUCGAGGGAGAGGGUCGUCGAAGACCACCACGUCGGAGGGGUAGGCGUCGAGCGAUGCCGUGUCGGAAUCGACAAGCAUCGGGUCGGUGGAGCCGACCGACUCCAAGUCUGCAGCAGGCUCGCUGGAGACGUGAAGUUGGUCUAGGAGGCUGAUGAGGCGGCUCUCGGGGUAGUCCGUGCCCGCGUCGGACGCGGGCUCGUCGGAGAUGCGAGCCUCGCCGAGCAGAUCGGCGAGGCGGCUCAUCGCGCAGGCGUCGUCGACGCCUUGCAGCGCGUCGGGGCAAACGCCAUCGGGCGCAGCAGGCUGGCUGCGCUCGCGGGGGAGAAAAAGGGUUCCCGUCCAGAACAGGUCUCCGGACGAUGGUGCACCUGGCCUCACGGUGGGCGCCAAAUGUCGGGUGGUAGGUGCGACAUAUGCCAAUGGGUGGCUUAUAAUUGUGGGAGCCAGUAAGACGUCGCCGGUGCCUGGAAACGGGAUGAGGCGAAGACAUGCUCGUCGGCGAAUCUUACCCAGGUUUGGGGCUCUCCGUGGAGAUAACACCCCUAGUCCUGCUCUGCGGGGUCUCCGCAUGAUCACUAGAUCAGAACGAGUAGCUACAAGUGCUCCUUGAGCUGUCGGGUUCAAGGGAGAAGAAGAGCAAGGCUAGCUCUCACUUCCCUCUCUAUAUGGUGUGUGUGUGACUCUAAGAAGCUAACCCUUUGCAUGGGUGCCCCGGGGGGUUUAUAUAGGCCUACCCCCCGGGGGUACAAUGGUAGUCCGGCUGGGCGCGGGUCCCAGUCGUCAGUGUCUGCACUCGCCAGCUUCUCCGCCGGCCAUUGGGGCCCGCCGACUGGUGGGUCCCACUGGCUGCCGGCCUCUUGGUCGACAGGCCGGCCCCACCGCCUGGGGGUCUUAUCGGCGGCUGUUUAUUGUAGCCUCGUCCCUGAUGACGAGGGCUUUGUCGAGGUAAGCGUGGCUACAGUGUGCCUCCUCGAGGGCUCUGACUGUAGCCUUACCUCGCCUUGUCUCCUUAAUGUGGCGCAUGUUUCGAGGGAGGGGGGUAGCCGGCUUCUGGGGGCCGGCUACGCCCCUGGCCGACUGGGGGAGGCCGGGCCGCCUUCGUGCCUCUCUCUGGCUAAAGGGGCCCGCCGCGCGCGGGCCAUACUGGCGUCUGUCGCGGAUGACGUUGAGGCCAGCAUGGCUACAGUGCCGAGCCGGACGGGAGAUGGCUGACCCGUACGGCGUCCUGUGGCCAUGCCCGCCUCGGGAUUCGUGGGUAGUGGGCCGUGCUGUAGCCACACCACGUCUUGUCACCAUUAUGUGGGCGUAGUUUUGGUGGGUGCGGUCUUGGCCGGCUUCUUGGAGUCGGCGCUCUACAUGGCCGGCUCUUGGGAGUCGGCGUUCUCCAUGGCCGGCUCUUGGGAGUCGGCGUUCUCCAUGGCCGGCUUCCUGGAGUCGGCCAUCUCGUAGUUAUCUUGGGGGAGGUGUCUGAGACUGGGUCGCCUUCUGAGAGUCGGCUCCUGGGGUAGCCGGCCGGGGGAAGGCGGCCCAAAGCUUUGAAUGCUUGAAGGCUCAAAUGGCCCGAUAAUUUUUGAAGAGCCAGGGGUAGUCAGUUAGGCUACCCGUGGCCAUUUACUUGACUUUGAUUGACUUGCCCAAUGAUCAGCGAGCCAUUGAGAUUAAAUGGAUCUUCAAGAGGAAGACGGACGCUGAUAGUAGUGUUACUAUCUACAAAGCUAGAAUUGUCGCAAAAGGUUUUCGACAAGUUUAAGGUGUUGACUACGAUGAGAGUUUCUCACUCGUAUCUAUGCUUAAGUCUGUCCGAAUCAUGUUAGCAAUUACCGCAUUUUAUGAAAUCUGGCAAAUGGAUAAACAAAACUGCAUUCCUUAAUGGAUUUAUUAAAGAAGAGUUGUAUAUGAUGCAACCAGAAGGUUUUGUCAAUCCUAAAGGUGCUAACAAAAUAUGCAAGCUCCAGCGAUCCAUCUAUGGACUGGUGCAAGUAUCUCGGAGUUGGAAUAUAUGCUUUGAUAAGUUGAUCAAAGGAUAUCGUUUUAUACAGACUUGCGGUGAAGCCUGUAUUUACAAGAAAGUGAGUGGGAGCACUACAACAUUUCUGAUAAGUACAUGUGAAUGACAUAUUGUUGAUCGGAAAUAAUGUCAAAUUAUUCUGCAAAGCAUAAAGGAGUAUUUGAAAGGAGUUUUUUCAAAGAAAGACCUCGGUGAAGCUGCUUACAUAUUGAGCAUCAAGAUCUAUAGAGAUAGAUCAAGACGCUUGAUAAGUUUUUUCAAUGAGUACAUAGCUUAACAAGAUUUUGAAGUGGUUCAAAAUGGAACAGUCAAAGAAAGAGUUUCUUGCCUGUGUUACAAGGUGUGAAAUUGAGUAAGACUCAAAGCCCGACCACGGCAGAAGAUAGAAAAAGAAUGAAAGUCAUUCCCUAUGCCUCGGCCAUAGGUUCUAUAAAAUAUGCCAUGCUGUGUACCAGAUCUAUUGUAUACCCUACACUGAUUUUGGCAAGGGAGUACAAUAGUGAUCUAGGAGUAGAUCACUGGACAGCAGUCAAAAUUAUCCUUACUGGAAUAAGGAUAUGUUUCUCGAUUAUGGAAGUGACAAAAGGUUCGUCGUAAAGGGUUACGUCGAUGCAAGUUUUUACACUAAUCUAGAUGACUCUAAGUCUCGGUCUAGAUACAUAUUGAAAGUAGGAGCAAUUAGCUAGAGUAGCUCCGUGCAGAGCAUUGUAGACAUAGAAAUUUGCAAAAUACUUACGGAUCUGAAUGUGACAGACCCGUUGACUAAAAUUAUCUCACAAGCAAAACAUAAUCACACCUUAGUACUCUUUGGGUGUUAAUCACAUAGCGAUGUGAACUAGAUUAUUGACUCUAGUAAACCCUUUGGGUGUUGGUCACAUGACGAUGUGAACUAUGGGUGUUAAUCACAUGGUGAUGUGAACUAUUGAUGUUAAAUCACAUGGCAAUGUGAACUAGAUUAUUGACUCUAGUGCAAGUGGGAGACUGAAGGAAAUAUGCCCUAGAGGCAAUAAUAAAGUUAUUAUUUAUUUCCUUAUAUCAUGAUAAAUGUUUAUUAUUCAUGCUAGAAUUGUAUUAACCGGAAACAUGAUACAUGUGUGAAUACAUAGACAAACAGAGUGUCACUAGUAUGCCUCUACUUGACUAGCUCGUUGAUCAAAGAUGGUUAUGUUUCCUAGCCAUAGACAUGAGUUGUCAUUUGAUUAACGGGAUCACAUCAUUAGGAGAAUGAUGUGAUUGACUUGACCCAUUCCGUUAGCUUAGCACUCGAUCGUUUAGUAUGUUGCUAUUGCUUUCUUCAUGACUUAUACAUGUUCCUAUGACUAUGAGAUUAUGCAACUCCCGUUUACCGGAGGAACACUUUGUGUGCUACCAAACGUCACAACGUAACUGGGUGAUUAUAAAGGUGCUCUACAGGUGCCUCCGAAGGUACUUGUUGGGUUGGCGUAUUUCAAGAUUAGGAUUUGUCACUCCGAUUGUCGGAGAGGUAUCUCUGGGCCCACUCGUUAAUGCACAUCACUAUAAGCCUUGCAAGCAUUGCAACUAAUGAGCUAGUUGCGGGAUGAUGUAUUACUGAACGAGUAAAGAGACUUGCCGGUAACGAGAUUGAACUAGGUAUUGAGAUACCGAUGAUCGAAUCUCGGGCAAGUAACAUACCAGUGACAAAGGGAACAACGUAUGUGGUUAUGCGGUCUGACCGAUAAAGAUCUUCGUAGAAUAUGUGGGAACCAAUAUGAGCAUCCCGGUUCCGCUAUUGGUUAUUGACCGGAGAGGUGUCUCGGUCAUGUCUACAUAGUUCUCGAACCCGUAGGGUCCGCACGCUUAACGUUACGAUGACAGUUACAUUAUGAGUUUAUAUGUUUUGAUGUACCGAAGGUUGUUCGGAGUCCCGGAUGUGAUCACGGACAUGACGAGGAGUCUCGAAAUGGUUGAGACAUAAAGAUUGAUAUAUUGGAAGCCUAUGUUUGGACAUCGGAAGUGUUCCGGGUGAAAUCGGGAUUUUUCCGGAGAACCGGGAGGUUACCGGAACCCCCCGGUAACUUAAUGGGCCUUAGUGGGCCUAGGUGGAAGAGAGGAGAGGAGGCCAGGGCAGGGCNNNNNNNNNNNNNNNNNNNNNNNNNNNNNNNNNNNNNNNNNNNNNNNNNNNNNNNNNNNNNNNNNNNNNNNNNNNNNNNNNNNNNNNNNNNNNNNNNNNNNNNNNNNNNNNNNNNNNNNNNNNNNNNNNNNNNNNNNNNNNNNNNNNNNNNNNNNNNNNNNNNNNNNNNNNNNNNNNNNNNNNNNNNNNNNNNNNNNNNNNNNNNNNNNNNNNNNNNNNNNNNNNNNNNNNNNNNNNNNNNNNNNNNNNNNNNNNNNNNNNNNNNNNNNNNNNNNNNNNNNNNNNNNNNNNNNNNNNNNNNNNNNNNNNNNNNNNNNNNNNNNNNNNNNNNNNNNNNNNNNNNNNNNNNNNNNNNNNNNNNNNNNNNNNNNNNNNNNNNNNNNNNNNNNNNNNNNNNNNNNNNNNNNNNNNNNNNNNNNNNNNNNNNNNNNNNNNNNNNNNNNNNNNNNNNNNNNNNNNNNNNNNNNNNNNNNNNNNNNNNNNNNNNNNNNNNNNNNNNNNNNNNNNNNUAAUAUCGUAGCGGUGCUUAGGCGAAGCCCUGCGUCGGUAGAACAUCAUCAUCGUCACCACGCCGUCGUGCUGACAAAACUCUCCCUCAACACACAAUUGAUCAUUGAUCCCUUAGCCGUGUGCGGUGCCCCCCUCCACCAUAUUACACCUCGAUAAUAUCGUAGCGGUGCUUAGGCGAAGCCCUGCGUCGGUAGAACAUCAUCAUCGUCACCACGCCGUCAUGCUGACAAAACUCUCCCUGAACGUGUGCUGAACUCGGAGGUGUCGUGCGUUCGGUACUUGAUCGGUCGGAUCGUGAAGACGUAUGACUACAUCAACCGUGUUGUGUUAACGCUUCCGCUAUCAGUCUACGAGGGUACGUGGACAACACUCUCCCCUCUCCUUGCUAUGCAUCACCAUGAUCUUGCGUGUGCGUAGGAAUUUUUUUGAAAUUACUACGUUCCCCAACAAUUUCUUCCCCAUUUGACCCUAGCGGUCUGACCCGGGCCAUGUGAUUUGGAUCCAGCUUGGUAUACCACGUUUUCACCAUGGCCCAGGCCUCUCGUGUACCCUCUCGGCAGGCCGAUAUCUUCCAUAGUCGGAUACGCCACCGCGCUCCCUUGAACAGCUCUACAAGCUCCUCCAUACUCCCUGGAGGGGAGGCGGAUGGCCAUAAGGCCUUGGCUACACUCCUCAUUGACUGCCGAGCUUCCUCGUGCAAUUGCGACAGCCCUUGCAGAUGAUCACUUGAUGAUCCGGACACCUCCUCUUCGGGACGUCCUGUCAACAUACCUGCAAUCAUAGCUAUAUCAGCUACUUUUACUUCCAAACUAUUAUAAGGUAAAAUCCAGCCACGUACUGAAUAUGUCGCCUCGCACCUUUUUAUUCUCCUUCCCGGAGUCGGCUAGCUGGGCCCGCACAUCUUUCAGUUCUUCGCCCAGUUUGGUGUUUUGAGUCCUGGAGUUUGUUUUUCUCCUCUCUGACUCGGGCCAGGACACGCUCGCCUGCGGCAUGCAGUCUUUUUGCAUCUGUCUCUCCCGCUUGAGUGGUUUUCAACUUCUCUUCCAGUUGACCGGAUGAUCCUAUUAUGAGAUAAGCAACAGUAUUAGCACAGCUACUGUAUAAUUGUUAUUCCUCGAUGGAGGGGAUCAUUACCAGAAGAUGUCUUCUUGGACUUUUUCAGUUCGGCGGUAGCAGCAUUUAGCUGCGUCUGACACUGCUCCAGCUCUUGGGCUAGCAGGUUGUUCUUCUCCGUCAGAACCUGGUUAUACAUCGAUCCUUAAAUCACUUGUGCCAACUGCUUUCAGUCUCGGGGGCUACUAGCAUGUGGUUAUCCUUUUCGGACAAAUAAACCUUACUCACACAUCCGUUAAAUGCUGCUUUGUGGCUCUGCCAAGCCCAUCUCGAGCAGCUCGGAUGUAUGCGUCAGUCGAGGUGAAGGCAUCAAACGCCUCUUUUGAGAAGCCAGUGUCCCGUAAAACGGCCCUCUGUCGCUGAUGAUUCAUGGCGCUCUCCACUUCCGAGUUGGUAACGGACAUAUCUUCUGAGCCCUCAGCCGAAGGACUAUCCGGUGUCGUUCCCGUAUCGGCCCCUGUCUCUCCGGCAAGGUCCGCACCCCGGCUGUUGGGAGUACGGCUGGCCAAAAACUCCCGGACAUAGUUCGGCGAUCCUUUUUCCUGAUAUAGGACAAACAUAAUGAUCACAGUUGGAUGUGACCACUAAAGCAUACUUUUGAAUCCGUACCUCUUUGACAAAGGCCCGGUCAUGUCUUCAUCGGCCCACCUUCUAGAGGCCUUGCUCGGCGCAGGAGCUGCUCUCUUCGGAGUCGCCCUCGGGGUAGCAUGACGUGUCGAACGCCUCCCCUUUGGAGCAUGAGCCAGUGCGGUGGGUGAGGCAGUGCGAGGAAACUUUUUCACGGGGGAUUUCUCCUGAUGACUUACAUGGGAAGCAGGAAGAAGACCAGGAUAAUCGGCGAUAAUGGCACUUCUGUGCCAUUGUAACUCGCCUGGUAAAACACCCCUUCCGCAAGUACCACGAAUAUAUCCGGGUCCUCUUUGAACCCAGGAUCAAGCUCCCGGUCGUGGUUCUCUGGCUGUGGGGCGGGGCUGUGGAGCCCCUCGGUGAUCUUUCGCCAGUGCUGUUAUCAACAGACGGACUAAGAAUUCCUUAAAGGUGACUUGGAGAGUGGAAUGAGUAAAAGUAGAGGGGUCAGGACUUACCCAGUUGGGAGGGUUAUACAUGGAGUACCCAUCGAUGCGAAGAAAUUCCUCUUCCUCCCCUUUGAACAGCUCGGCCAGUAUCUUAGCCAGAGCUGCGGGGGUAUCCGGACCUUUCCGACCACAGCGGGAGGCGUCAUCCUCCCCGUUGUAGUGCCACAUUGGGAGCCCUCUAUAUUGAAGUGGCUGAACCCCUCGCGCUAUGGAGGUUGCCAUUACCUCAACUAUUGUUAAUCUGGACUGGGCGAGCGUCUUUAUCUUGCCCAUAAGCUGACGAACUUCCGGACUAUCGUCCCCUUCAAGACUUCGGGGACGCCAACUAUGGCGUUUCUUCAGCGGAACGCUGGCGAAUUCGGGAAGACCCUUUCAAACUGGGUCAGGGAGUGCGACGUCCUCAAUGUAGAACCAUUCGGAAGGCCAUUCUUCAUAUGCCUUCCUUGGUGUGCCAGGCAGGUAUCCGGCAUUGGUGAUGCGCCAUACUUCGGCUCCGCCCACUUCAAAUAUUGACCCCUCGUGGUUAUGCGGGACAAGGCAAAACAACUUUCUCCACAGUUCAAAAUGGGCCUCGACGCCCAGAAAUAGUUCGCAUAAAGCGACAUAGCCCGCAAUGUGCAGGAUGGAGGCGGGAGUAAAGUUAUGCAGCUGGAGGCCAUAGUAUUCCAAAAGCCCCCGGAGGAACGGAUGGAUUGGAAAUCCGACGCCCUUAGCAGAUAGGGGACGAAACACACUCGCUCCCCCCGGAUGGAUUGGGGAAGUCCUCCUCCUGGGUCUCGCCAUUAAAGGAGGCUAGCCCUGCUCGAACCGGGACCAAAUCCGCAGGGGGAAGAAAUCCCUGCGUUUGCAACUUCAACAAUUGACUGUGGGACACACAGCACCUCUCCCACUCGCCUUUCUCUGGGACGGGACGGUAGGAGGAGCUAGGAAUGCUAGCCAUGAUGGAAUGGUCUUUCCUCAUGGUCUCUGAGGAUUUUCUCCGCGUGGUGCCGAAUGGAUCUAAGAUCCGGGGUGUUAUUUGCAAAAAAUACCCUGACCUUCCGCAUUCGUUCAACACGUGGAAGCUGAAGUCAUGGAUAAACGGAAGCCGGGGAGGGCGACAUUGAAUGGAAGGCCGAAUACAUUACUUAAAGGUCAUCGGAGGAGGAACCCACCUUCCAAUGCCGAAGACAAUCUAUGAGUCGAACACCUCGUCAUUGAAGACUGGUUCGGGGGCUACUGAGGGAGUCCUGGACUAAGGGGUCCUCGGGCGUCCGGCCUGUUAACCAUGGGCCGGACUGAUGGGCUAUGUAGAUACGAAGACCGAAGACUGUACCCGUGUCCGGAUAGGACUCACCUUGGCGUGGAAGGCAAGCUUGGCGACCGAAUAUGUAGAUUCCUUUCUUUGUAACCGACCUUGUGUAACCCUAGAUCCUCCCGAUGUCUAUAUAAACCGGAGGACUUAGUCUGGAGAGAGAUACUCAUUACCAUAGUCAUAUAGGCUAGAUUUCUAGGGUUUAGCCAUUACGAUCUCGUGGUAGAUCAACUCUUCUAAUACUCAAAUUCAUCAAGAUCAAUCAAGCUGGAAGUAGGGUAUUACCUCGAUAGAGAGGGCCCGAACCUGGGUAAACAUCGUGUCCCCUGUCUCCUGUUACCAUCGACCUUAGACGCACAGUUUGGGACCCCCUACCCGAGAUCCGCCGGUUUUGACUCCGACAAAUGGCUCUAUCGCAUAGGCGUCCCUGAGCGCGCGUUUGCGCUCCCUCUUGGGGAUAUGGGUAGCGUAUAUCAUGUUCACCGUUUUAACCUGGGGGAAACUUCUUCUGUCCCCCUGUGUUCGGCGGACGGGGCUCUUCGUCGUCGUUCUCACUUUGCGAACCCUUCUCCUUAUCCUCGGCAUUUAACUUGCUGGCCUGUUUAAAGACCCAACAACUCCGGUGGGUAUGAUUGGCUGGUUUAUCAGGGGUGCCGUCGAUCUGACAUGGAUGAUCGAGUAUGCGGUCCAAGCUGGAAGAGCCCGGAUUGUUCCUUUUGUAUGGUUUCUUCCGGUGACCAGACUUGGAGCCACUGAAUCCGGCGUUGACCACUGUGUCAUCCGUAUUGUCACCAUUGUUUUGACGCUUAUGCCUGUUGCGCCGGGGCUUGCCGUUGCUAUUCUUGGCUUCAGAGGUGCCAGGUUCACUUGCAUUAUUAUUGCUACAGGCUAGCCAACUAUCUUCGCCUGCGCAAAAGCGGGUCAUGAGUGCCGUGAGGGCUGCCAUGGACUUCGGCUUUUCCUGGCCGAGGUGUCGGGCGAGCCAUUCGUCACGGAUGCUAUGCUUAAAGGCCGCCUGGGCUUCGGCAUCCGAACAGUUGAGGAUCUAGUUCUUUUUAAUUAAGAACCUAGUCCAGAAUUUCCCGGCUGACUCUCCGGGCUGUUGGACUAUGUGACUUAAGUCAUCUGCAUCCGGAGGUUGGACGUAUGUGCCUUGGAAGUUGUCGCGGAAGGCGUCUUCCAGGUCCUCCCAGCUGCCAAUGGAGUUUUCAGGCAGGCUGUUCAACUAGUGCCGAGCUGGUCCCUUGAGUUUUAGUGGGAGGUAUUUGAUGGCAUGAAGAUCAUCACCGCGGGCCAUAUGAAUAUGGAGAAUAAAAUCCUCAAUCCACACCGCGGGGUCUGUUGUCCCAUCAUAUGAUUUUAUAUUCACGGGUUUAAACCCUUCUGGGAAUUCGUGCUCCAUUACUUCAUCGGUGAAGCAGAGGGGGUGUGCGGUGCCUCUAUAUCGGGCCAAGUCGCGAUGUAGCUCGGAUGGAGCCCGUCUGCGGUUUUCGGCCCGGGCGUGAUUAUGCUUAUCGCGUCCGGCUGGAUAGCCGUCGCCGCGCGUCGGGGCGCGCCCCCGCGAUCCCUAGAUCGAUCUGGUCUGACCUGCUCUAUUGUCCAGGUCCUGCCGCGGGUCAUAUGUAUAUCCCCGAGCUGUUGUGUCUCUACCUUUACGGCGAGGCGGUAUGGGCUGGUGUUCGGCAUGAGUUGUUGCUUUAUCCCGGCCACGUGGUGGUCGGUCAGCUGCAUUACGCGCUGACGGUACGGGGUCUAGUGCCUCGUCAUCGAAUUGAGGUAGAAGUUUAUGCUUCAGGUAACUUUUGGUUGGGUGCUCGAGGUCAUAUUCCUCGGCUGCCAGGACAUUAGUCCAUCUGUCGUUGAGCAGAUCUUGAUCAGCUUGAAGCUGUUGCUGCUUCUUUUUCAGGCUCCUUGUAGUGGCGAUUAGCCGGCGCUUAAAGCGCUCCUGCUCGAGAGGUUCCUCGGGCAUGAUAAAAUCCUCAUUGCCGAGGCUCACCUCGUCCUCGGAGAGCGGAAGAUAAUUACUAUCAUCCGAGUCUUCGUUUACGGCCUGUUAUCAGGGCUGACUUGCCCAUCUUCCCAUUCGUCCUGUUCGAAAGUUGGCUCGAUGGGGUCUUCUUUGUCUUCGGCAUCAUCCAGAGAAUUGUUUUCUCCUGUGCUGGUAUCGCUAUCUUUUCCACGACGUGAUUUCGAGCGUCCGCUGACGUCGGCGCUUUGGCUGUAUCUCAGGAGGUUUAUCCUCGACUGGAUCUUCUUUGUCAUCGUCGUUACCCGCUUUGGGUGUAUCCACCAUGUAUACGUCAUACGAAGAGGUGGUCGUCCAACAUCCGGUGAACGGAAGAUUUUCGACCUGCUCCUCUCCGGCAUCGUCGUCCAUACCGUCGAUGUCUUCGGAGCCAUAGUCGAGCAUGUCAGUUAAGUCCUCGACAGUGGCUAUAAAGUGGGUGGUGGGUGGGACGUAAAAUUCCCCGCUGUUAGCCCCUAGUUCGGGCUGGGCGUAGUUUGGACAUUGCUCCUCUAUAAUGACGAGGGAUCGCAUCAAGUCCAGAGCCUCGCUUAAAGGCGAGGUUUGGCCAGGGAGAAGAAAGUUCGUGGAGUACGCCGGGGAGGGAACUCCUUGGCCGAACUCACACGAUGCUGACUCCGAGGGUCCGGAGCCGAUGUCUGGGGAGGGGUCCGGCUUCAUGAUGGGUGCCAGCGACACUACUCCCUCCGGCUCUCUCGUGCCGGGCUUAAUGGCCGCAGAUAGUCCGGUGGGCUCAGUAAUCCUGUCUUCGGACCUAGCGAUGCGCUCUGGAUCUAAGGCCAGAGCGGAGGUUGGGGUCGUGAACCCUUGGAAGAUCAAGUCUCCUCGGAUAUCAGCGACAUAGUCCAGAUUUCCAAAACUAAUCUGGUGACCUAGGGCGUAGCUGUCAAUCUGCUCUAGAUGGCCAAGCGAGUUUGCCUGCAUUGCGAAGCCGCCGAAUACGAAAAUCUGGCCGGGGAGAAAGGCCUCCUCCAGGGCCGCGUUGUUGUAGAUGAUGGAUGGAGCCAUCGAACCUCCUGGUGACGACACAGCGGAACUCUCAAUGAAAGCACCAAUGUCAGUAUCAAAACCGGCGGAUCUCGGGUAGGGGCCCCGAACUGUGCGUCUAAGGUCGAUGGUAAGAGGAGACAGGGGACACGAUGUUUACCCAAGUUCGGGCCCUCUUGAUGGAGGUAAUACCCUACUUCCUGCUUGAUUGAUCUUGAUGAAUAUGAGGAUUACAAGAGUUGAUCUACCACGAGAUCAUAAUGACUAAACCUUAGAUGUCUAGCCUGUAUGAUUAUGAUUGCCCCUACGGACUAAACCCUCCGGUUUAUAUAGACACCGGAGGGGACUAGGGUUGUUCCAAGUCGGUUAACAGAGGAAGGAAUCUACAUAUCCAAACACCAAGCUGGCCAUCCACGCAGAGGAGAGUCCCAUCCGGACACGGGAAGAAGUCUUCUGUCUUAUAUCUUCAUAGCCCAUUAGUCUGGCCCAUGUUACACAGCCCGGACAUCCAAGGACCCCUUAAUCCAGGACUCCUCAUUGGUCCCAUAUUUGUUCUCUUUGAACCUUUUUCCUAUGUGAGGGUAGAAAAUCUAGUCCUGCACAAACUACCCGACCCCCCAGUUCCUUUCCCUUUUCAACAAAGAGAUCGGUUCCUUACAGAUGUGUGUACUGGGUUACCCCCUUUUCCCCUUUUCGACCAUCAAAGCGGCUGGAUAGCCAGUCUAUACUACUUUCUCUCCCUCCUUUCCUCAUUGAACCACGUCCUAGAUUCAUGCUCCACCCCACCGCACCCUUCUUUCCUCUUUGAACCAAGACCUAAAUUCGACUACAGAAUCGAAAAAGAUCCACAUGCAGCUAGAGCAAUGACGGUUUCAAACAAACUUAUACCUUAGGGUCGUCGGGAUGUGGCAAGGCGUGCGACGGGAGGCCGAAUAUUCCCACACUACGUACGGCAGCAAGGAAGAACGGGUCGGUGGCCCUCCCGCACAGGCGCUGGGUGAAAGAGAACAGCGCAGCCGGUAGUGGAUUGCCUCCCUCGCCGAAGGCGAUAGAGUGAACGCUGCACCUCCUCCCCUUCCCGGUGCGACGGGAUCCGGACGCCUCCUUCACCAGCUGUGGGGGGAGAGAGAGACAGAGGACACAAUGCAGUCUUGUUUAGAUCUGGUGAAGAGGGUGAGAGACUGUGAAUAUAGCAAACCCUAGCAAAGGAACGCUGAACCUCCAGUGUGUAUAUAUAUGGGUAGUGCGGCGAGAGUGUGGAGAGUACAAACCCUAGCGAAUAAGCGUUGAGGCUCCAGCUUAUAUAGUGUACUACAUAUAUACUGUAUUACGGACUGAGCUCCGGUGCCUUAACUGCACCUACCUUUGGCUGUAUGACAGGUGGACCAGCCACAUUUUGGCCAACCUGUCAUACACCCAAAGGCAGGUGCACUUAGUCAAUGAAGCUGCGUCCAUAUAGUACUCGUGUAUACUACUAAUAUAUAGCGGAGUGGUUUUCUUAUUCUCUCCAUAACAAUUGUUUUAAAUUGUGUAAGUACAAAACAAAACUCUUUAUUUAACGUACCAGUGAAGAAAACUACUACUUUCGAUGAACUAACGAUCCACGCGUCCUGGUCGCACUUCCUGUCCUUCACGUGUGGUACACUACCCUCCCUUAAGUGAACAACCACACAUGCGCCAAAUUAUCGGAAACGUGUGAGAGUGUGUACAAAUAAAGAAUUUUAAUUUCAAUUAUCGGAAAGUUUUGAGGGUAUGUAUAGUUUGGCCUCUCUCAAUAAUUAUGGUUUGUUGUGUUCGGCCUAAACUUGGUCAAACUUUACAAAGUUUGACUUCAGUCAAAUCUAAUAUGCAUAGUAAAUAAAAACGGAGGGCUACUACGUCCAUCCGGGUUUUUAGUCCACACCAUUUUUUUAAUCAAAGUUAAUAGAUGGACAAAUAAAAUUACAGGGGAGCUAAAGACAAAGUUGUGAGAAGGCUUAGAAAUCAAUACAAAACUUAUGCUCUUAGUACCAACGUCGAUCCUUCUUCGAGGAAACAUUUGGUUCAUAGCCAAUUGUGUGAUAAAACUGCACCAACAUGAAAGACGACUGCGUCUCCAACGUAACCAAGGUGAGCUGAUGAAGGAUAUCAUCUUUGUGGGUAACAAGCAAAGAGCACUGAUGGAAGAUAGCUUGUUUUCAUCAAAAAUCGAUCAACUUCACCAGCCGAUGCAACCAUGAGGCGCAACAAUGAGCAUCGAUAGGUCAUCGUGGUGAUGCAUCAUCCAUUUGGCAUCAAGUUUGGGUGAGGCACCUAUGAAGUUCGACAAAUCCUCACUGUGGUCUGUUUCUUCUCAGUAAUCAAGCUCGAGGAAGGAAGAACCACGUGGCAGAGCACAGUGAGGCGGAACAACAAUGGCCAUCCAAUUUUGUGCAGUUCCACUAAAAUUGAGGAAGACAUGCCCGGGUAUGGAGAUACGCAUCGCUGUUUGCAAAAAUAUAAAAAAGGGAUAUAGUGUUGUUACUUUGUUUUGGCAGUGGUACAAGAUUAACAGCGACAUCUCAAUUGUCAAUAAGAAUUAAUGAAAGGUACACUAACAAACAGAAGCAUCAUGCUUAUCUUGAUGGGAACUAAACCAGGAUACCUGAGAAAAAAAUCAUGUCUUCAUUUAACAAGUGAUAGUAUUAGAUUAGCAGCAGCAAUAGGAGCAUAUGGACAAUGACCGCACAACCACCAUGUACUUUUUGUCGAAACAACAUGUAUACCUCCACUGAGGCAUAAAUCAGGACAACUUUUUUGAGUGGAAUUUCCUCUAUAGUAGUAGGUGAUGUUGGACCAGCCGACGAACCCUAGCUACUAUACAUGGGGAGCUGGGGAGUAGUCGCAUAGAAGAAAACCUGCAUGCAGCGACCUGGGGAGCUGGACCAGUACAAGAAGUUAUACCUCAGGUGGGCGAGAUGUCGCUUAGGCGGGCGGGCAGGAUUUUCCCACACGACGGCAGCGAACAAGGGUGCGGACGGUGCGCAUCGGCUUCCUCCAUCGCUGACGGCGACAACAUCAACGCUGCACCUCCUCACCUCCCGCAGCAGACGGGAUUCGGCCGGAUCUGUGACCAUCGGUGAGGAGAGAGAUAGAGUGGACACUGUCAUCUUGUUUUCAUAUGGAGAGGGUGAGAGAGCGAGACGUGAGAAACCCUAUCAAACAAGAGGCAAUAUAUACAAUGGAGUAAAAAAAUCUCUCCAUGGCAGUGGUUUUAAAUAGAAUACGCGCGUUCUCGGAAAAAAUAAACGAAAAGUGGCGGACAAUUUUUUAACGUACCAAGAAAGAAAACUCGAUAAAAAACACGCCCCCGCUUCCAGGUCACGUGAGUCAUCGCGCACACACACAUAGACAUAGACAUGCAUAUCUGUGUUUACGUAAAAUUCCAUCUCCAUCUCCAAUCAUAUUUGUCCAACUGACACAUUAUUCACGUUGUUAAUUAUAUACGCAGCAAUAUUAACGUACAGCAUCUCUUGUUUGCGGGCGUCCGGAUCGCUGCCACGCCCGCUCCUGACCAACCCGAACCCUCUUUAUCACCCGCGCGUGCUUCCUGCCCGAAACGGUCAGUGCCGCAUUCAUGCCUAGCCAAAGCGGACGCGACCUCUCACUGGCGCCGGCAUUGAAGCGGUGCAUCAGUCGAGAGAGCGCCGCCCGCGCCGCUUCCCGGUGAACGCGACUGCUCCGCGUUCAAAGGUCCCAAUAGCCGGCCACAACAUGCAUGUCAAAAGUUCUUGGGAGUCCGUGCUACAGCUAGCUGUCCUCCCCCAACUCGUCAAUCUCUUCCAGUAGUGCUACUACUCCAUGGCGCGAUCCAUCGACAAGAAGGCGGGAAAGUUAUCGUAUACUCGGUUUGCAGUGAGUGGCAUGCCGAGCGACCGUGUGGGGUGGAGCUGUGGAGGAGGGUGAGACACGAACGCGUCAGACGUGAUUUAAACGUUGGUUUUGCUCGAUGGCGCGAUCCAACGAAAUGAAACGUUGGUUUCUCUCUGUUUCCAUUUUUUCUCCGGAAAACGGAAACUUUCCACUCCAUUUUCAUUCCUACUCCAAGGUUGCCCCGUUACAACAUUCCAUCAAAUACAAAGGAAAACUAACACGCAUGCUGAUGCAUCUCAAUGAUUCAUAGAUCAUAGCCAAUAUUUACUUCACAACUAAAGACAAAAGUUGUGAGAGCGUGUACAAAAAAACUACUGAUGGGGUCACUACGACUUAAACCCUAAACCCUAAACAUGAUUUAAUUUCCUGGCUAGGUAGAACCUGUCGAAGGAAAUAUGGCUGGCACCCUCGGAUCAUACGAUGCUUUUGUGCAGUUCCACUAAAAUCGAGCUGAGCAUCCCUGAUGGCAAAGAUAUUGAAGAAGUGUGAUUAGAAUAAUAGUACUCGCACUAGUUCAUGAGACAUAAACUCAUCACAAAUAGAAGCCGGUAGAAGUAGAGAAAGAUCGACAUGGAGAUGGAGCUACGUGGGGAGCUGCGGCAGUGGAGCAAGCCAGCUCCAAAAGGAAUAUGUACUACCUGGGACGUCAGGCUGUAGCUAGAAGGGCGGUUGGGACGCGGCAUCAGCCCAUACCGCGGGGACCCCCGAUUGGGACGCACCGACUGUGGGUUUUCUCCCUCGCCGAUGUCGACCGCGUCUAUGCAGAACAUUGUUCCCUUCCCCCAGCGGCGGGAUCAGGCCGGAUAUGUGACCAGCGAUGUGUCCACCGUCGUUCUAUGCUUGUGAAGAGAGCAACCCAAGCAAGCAGGCUUGUAGCUUAGGCUCCUGCUAGUGUAUAUAUAGUGGUUUUCUUUUUCUCUCCAUAUCAACCAUUUUAUAUUGCGUACGUGUCACUGAAGAGUGAAAUGAUGGUUGCUUCUUCCGACUAACUUACUGUGUGAUUUGACUGCUCCUUAGUGGCCCCUACACGUACUCCCCCUGCGUGUAUAACCGUUCCUGAGUCUCACUUGUACUUAUCUCUAUUUUCUUGCAUGACACGUAGACAGGAUGCGCAUAGAGGAAUUUUGUUACUGCACAUUGUUACGUAGUACUGUACUACUAGUACCUACUCCCUCCUUCCGGUUCACUAUUGGUACUCCCUCCGUCCUGGCUUAUUGGUCCCCUUUGUACUCAAUUCAUGGGCUCGUUUUCCUCAAGAAAUUAUCUUUACCAACGUAUUAAUAUCGGGAAUGCAUGCGUGAACAACGAAUGAUUAAACCUUGCAUGCAACGUUUUGACAAAGCAUUGACUUAUGAGCAUGUGAAUGUGAGGGACUACAACCUCGUGCAUGCACGCAACAGUCACACGUACACAUGGACACAAAAACGCGCGCGGCACCCUAAUGCAUGCAUGUCCGAGCACACAAAAACGCGCGCUCCACACACAUACUCAGCCAGGGUGAGCUAGUGACCGUAUGAACACUGGAAAAUGUAUAUAUUGAGCGCAAUUAGUGUAUUAUGAAGUUCACUGACCAUAUUUUUACAAAUAUACAGUGAUAGACAAUGUAUUUAUCUCAUUUGAAAUUAAGCCAUAUUAACCGGAAAGGAGGCAGUAUAGACUAGCAUUACUUUGCUAUGUCCCGCCAACUUGCCGAACGAGGAGAAGCUUGCAGGACGGGAGAAGCUUGCGCGUGAUGGCUCGCAGGACACGGAGAAACUUUUGACUAAUGCAAGUAAUCCCUCGCUCAGGCGGUGGAUGUGCAACAGUUAAUUCGGUGUCACAUUGCCAGAAGGAUACACUAUACUAGUACUAUUAUUGUUCGACUUCCUGAAGAGGCGGACAGCCAAGCGCAAAGUUUUUUUAAGGAAGCCAAGCAAAAAGUUUACUAGUACUAGUACUACUACCAUAGAGGUAUAUACUACUAGGAACCGGAUGGAGGAGCGUCUGCACUCUUAUUAUAUUUUAAAAAUGUGAUAAAGCAAUCUUAACACAUUUGGUUCUCUUCAAGGGUUCUCGCAUGUGAUAAUGGAAGUUGAUUGCAUGGAACGCUCGCCACAAUUCUCGCUUAAUUCUGGCUCAUAUCCUGUUACAAAUAGGAGCGCUCGGUAAUAUUUCCUCUUUUUUUGUUAUUCAGCAUGUAAACAGGUCAGCAAACCUUGCGGCGCAUCUUUGUGCGAACCGUGCUUGCUGCACUUUGAAUGUGGCCGAGAGCUGGCUUGAUGAAACACCUCGCUUCAUUCUUCUUUUUUUGCGGGGUACCUCGCUUCCUAGUGACCAGUCUCUUGGCUGAUCAUUCAAAGAAUGCUUAUAUAUGAAUAAAGCUCUCUCAUUUACCCGCAAAAUAGAUUAAGCCAUAUUAACCGGAAAGGAGGGAGUAUGGACUAGCACUACUUUUUGGUGUGUCCCAUCAACUCGCAGAACGAGGAGAAGCUUGCAGGACAAGGUGAAGCUCGCUUAUGCCUUUUGACUAAUGCAACCUAUCCUCGCCCAGGCGGUGGACAUGCAUCAGUUCAUUCGGUGUCAGAUUGCCAGAGGCAUACACUGUAGUACCCAACAUGCGGAGUACCAUCAUUGUUCGACUUCACGAAGAGGCGAAGAGCCAAGCGCAAGGUUUAGUAGUACGAGUAGUACUACUACUAGAACCGCAUGGUGGAGCGUCUGUACUCUUAUUUUAUUUUAAUCUCUGAUAAAGUACACAUUUAUUCGGGAGAAGGGCGGAAAACGGCAGCACAAUAGUAUAGUAUUAAAAAACAUCGAACAUGUAAUGAUGAUAUCGAUCAACCAUGCUCGAAUAUAUCUUGGACUCCGUGCGAGCCCGUCUGUGUGUUCUCGCUCCUCGACUCUCUCAAGGAACGGUGGGUUGGCCAUUUUGCCGUCAAUUGAGAUCGGUUUGCUCACACUCCGGUCCCACAUGUUAGUGAUAUGCCAAGAGGAGGUGUGUUGACCGACUGGCCAUACGCAUACUUGGUUUUGCACCUUCAUACUACUACUCCCUCCGUCACAGUUUACAGGGCGCGCUUCAUUCUGAUGCAUUUCUCUCAAUGCAUUUCCACCACCAGAGAGACUUUAGGCGCAUUUAGUUUAAUGCUCAAUUAAUUAGGGAGUGGAGUAAGUGCAUGCAUGUGUGUACCCGGGGUGGAAGCACUGCAUGCAUGUGUACGCAUUAUUUCCUCUAGUAAUAGACGUCGUGCUAUAACUACCAAUCCUAUUUCUCGGAUCGAUCGCUAGUCGCCUUGGUCCUAGAGAAUGUUUUUUGAAGCGCGCUCUAUAAACAGUGACGGAUGGAGUAGUAUGAGCGGAUUCAAAGAAGUGCAUAGUGAUGGUUGCUUCUUCCGAGCAACUUACAAUGGGAAAGGUGGGGCUUAUGAUUUGACUGCUCAUUACUCACUAUUAAAGUGGCGCAACGACCGGGCUGAGUCUCCCAUGCAGUUGUGCACUACUCCCUCGGUUCUUAAAUAUACUCCGGAGUAUUUGUAUUUCUAGAGAUUUCAACGAGUGACUACAUACAAAGCAAAAUGAGUGAAUCUACACUCUAAAAUAUGUCCAUUUGAAAUUUGUAAAAAAGAGAAAUAUUUAGGAACGGAGGAGUAUAAUUUUGUGCAUGGCACAUGGACCCGGAUGCUGAAGAGGCUUCUAGAAAUGCUAUCAAGCUUCCAGCAUUUGUUUACAUAAUUGACGUACUAUACAAAUAAUUUUCCAGCGAGAUGAAAUUGUACAAUGCUCUGAGCUUUCAGCUUUUGUUUCGUGUGUCUUCCCAUCGAUGCUCUUUCGGAAACAAUAAAAAACUAACUUCCUUGCUAACGCAUCUCAAUGAUUAGCAGAUCUGACAACCAUCUCAUCCCGCACGACACGAUCCUCAGGGCCCAGCUCGAUUGUCAUCCCUUGCGGCAGGUAAUGAACGACAUUGACAGGGUAGUUCACCAUGGGCGAGGGUGGGCGAGGAACCAGAGGAACGGCGGAGGUGGGAAAAGCAGAGGAGGAAGGCGUAUCGACGGGGCUGAUUCUAGUCUUUGGGACCCAAAUGCCCUGUGCGGACCGCCGAGUAGCCCAGCAGGAGGUCACCACGUGUCCUGGGGCACCACACGAUUCACAGCGGACGGUCCAUGACUUGCUGGCGGUGGCGGAAGUCAAUCGCUUCGUCCCAUUCCACCAGAAAGCUGCGUUGCGCCACACCAUCGAAGGUUUGCUUCAUGAGUCUCACUUCUUUCCCACUGAGGUUGAUGAUUACCCGCUAGGCAUUGCGAUCUUUGGGUUUCCGGAUUCUGUCAUUAGAGAUGCUGUGGUUGGCACUACUUUUGAGCUUGAUGAAGAUGAGGAAAAUCUGAAUACUGUUGUCUCUUUUGUCCCUCAUGAUGUUGCUCUUAAUAUGAGGUUGACUACUUAUGGUCCGCAAGUGUGGCUCCUAUACAUUGGUUUCCCUCAUGAUUAUCAGACUUCGCAUUACAUUCACAAAUCAGUAGAUAAGUUUGGUGAGCUGAUUACCUGGAAUAACCCUAGAGGGGAUAGGAAGGUUGUGUUGAACAAAGCCAGAGUACUCAGUCUUAGUAGGGUGCGUAAAAGUUUUGUCAUGCACCAACUUGGUGGAGCACGGCACUGCUAGACUGUUUGUGUCACGAUCUUGAGAAGUAGUGAUUCGAAUGCUCAUAUCCCGGAUGUCCCUCCGGCAGGCAUUGAUCUCCACCCGCUGACGGAAUCCCACACCCUUUGUUUGGAGAGGAUCUGACGGCAGAGCAGAUCUAUCACGCGCAGCUGCAUAAUUGGCUGGCACAGAAUGUAGCCCCUAACCAGAACAAUGAGGAGGUUCAGCAAGGUAAUGAGAUUCAUUUCCAGCCCAAUUGGGGAGUCUGGCCGCCUUCACCACCACCUGCUGUCUACAACUACCAGGCUUGGCUUGCUGCUAAGGGGUUACAAGUGCAAGAUGGAAUUCUUCCAGUUAACAACCUGCAGGACAGCCCAGGCAUGGCCUGGAAUGACUCUAUCUCUGCUUUUGGAUCUUCAGACUCUAGUACCACAGUCUCUGACACAUAUGUCCUAGUACCUCGCAACAUUUUCAACAGCAUUGCAGCUCAUUAUGAAGAAGGGGAGAGCUCAACUGUCAGGACACCUCAGCCUAACUCACUGGAUGUGCAAAUCUCAAUCUCUGCUGCUGGGUUACAUUUUGAGAUGACAACUAAUGGUGACAUCAUGUCUUCCAUGCUGAUUAACCAAGGUAUUCCUAUAAGAAAUCUCAAUACCUUCCUCUCUGCUGCAAUUAUGCCUAUCAUUGCUGCCUAUGGACCUUAGAGUACUGGUUAUGGAUUCAGAUUUGAAAGAGUGGAUAUGAGGAUGACCAUUGUUGAACAAGAUGGUGUUCUGCAACUGUCUGAAGCUACUCACAUUAUGACUGAUUUUGGCAAUGUCUUACCUCAUACACUGUCUGCUCCUCUCACCCUAAGCUUAACUGAAAUAUCUGAGCCACUGUCUGACCUGUCAGUAUCAAGCGAAGCUGUGUUGCAGGACAACUCUGCCAUUGUUGCCCUUGCUAACCCAAGUUUUGAUCUUGGGGUGGAUGUGGCUGCUGUUCAGCAUAUGGAAGAUUAUCAUAUGGAGAACUCUGCUCUGGAUAUGGAUAUGCAGACCAGUAUGCCCACAACUGCUCCACCUGCGUCUGUUGUCACUGCCUCUGCAAGUCGGCGUGGAAAAGCACCUGUACCUGAAUCUGUCAUUCCUCUUUGCCGUAGCAGCAGAUCCAAUAAAUAUGAUGGAUUCAAAGUUCCACCUCUCUCGGACACCAAGAUCAAGGUCUCUAAGGUAAAACCUAGGGUGAUUCCCUCUGCUGCUUCCAUCACUGUUGCUUCUGAUCCAUCUGCAGCCUCUGAGAUACCACCACCCACGGUGAUACCAGUUAUUCAGCAUAUUGGGACUGUCAUGUGUGGAAUCCCAGCUGAAGAGCUCACUGAUGAGCAGCUCCAGGCAUCUCCUGAUGAUGGCCCACCUUCGGCCCAGGCUUAAGCCCUCUGUCCGGGGCUCAUCCUUUUGGCGGUUAUCUGCUCGUACUUUCAUAUUAUCCUACCUUUGCUAUGGUCCUUCAUGUUAAUUGGAACGUACUUUGCUGGAACGUCCGAGGUUUGAAUUCUGAUGCAAAACAAUUAGCACUUUCAAAUGCAAUCAACUUGUGUGGUUGUGCUGUUAUAUGUUUGCAAGAGACCAAAAAAUCUUCUUUUGAUCACACUUUCAUUAAGUCUUGCUGCCCUAAACGUUUUGAUCAGUUUGAUUUUGUGCCCUCCCGGGGGGCCUCGGGAGGCCUGGCCGCGAUCUGGAAUAGUGCCAUUUUAACAGCCACUACCAUAGCUCACGAAGACUUCGCCCUGGUUACACGUUUUCAAUCAACCCAAUCGGCUCAUUUUUGGACCCUGGUUAAUGUAUAUGGACCUUGUCAAGGGGUCAACCGAGUUAACUUCAUUAAUUGGCUCUUGGCACUAAACAUCCCCACUCAUGAAGAUUGGCUCUUGGUCGGACACUUUAACUUCAUUAGAAGCGCUGAUAAUAGAAACAAGCCAGGUGGGAGUUAUAGCGACAUGAUUACUUUCAAUGACUUUAUUCGAACACAAGCCUUAAUUGAACUUCCCAUUAAAGGCCGCGAGUACACCUGGAGUAACAUGCAACUUGAUCCAUUACUUGAACAAAUUGAUUGGUUCUUCACUAGCAAUAAUUGGACAAGCACUUACCCUCACACAAUGGUUAAGCCCCUCGGACGACCAGUAUCUGAUCACAUCCCAUGCGUCGUUAACAUUGAAACUUCCAUCCCUCGCUCCAAGCUAUUUAGGUUCGAAUCUUUCUGGCUACAACAUCCAGGCUUCAUGCAAAUAGUUCAAAAUGCUUGGUCAAAACCUGUGUCUUCUCAAAAUAUGGCAACAGUGCUCUGCAGAAAGUUCAAAACUCUAAGACAUGAUCUCAAGUAGUGGAGCAAAAGCAUUUCAAAGCUCUCCAUUGCCAUAGAAAAUUCGAACAGGGCUUUAUUGGAAAUUGAUGGGCUGGAGAACAAAAGACAAUUGUACACACCUGAAGUAAAUUUCAGGAGAAUCCUCAAGGCCCACCUCAUCAGACUGCUUAACUACCAAAAAUUAUAUUGGAAGAAACGGUGCACCAUUCGAUGGGUGCAAUUCGGAGACGAAAAUUCCAAGUUUUUUCAGGCCAUGGCAUCUGAGCGGUACAGAAGAAAUAAUAUUGCAACACUGACCACAGAUGAUGGUAUUUGCGUGGAGGAUCACACGGGGAAAGAAGCUUUACUGUUCCACUCCUUUAAACAGAGACUUGGCACCUCCUCUCAUAAUGAUAUGAAAUUUGACCUUCAAAGAAUUAUCAAAAGGAUUGAAGGUCUCGAUGAGUUAACAGUCCCAUUCACCCCAGCUAAGAUCGAUCAUGUUAUUAAAACAAUGCCUGCUGAUCGCGCACCUGGCCCGGAUGGAUUCAAUGGAGCAUUUCUUAAAGCUUGUUGGCCGAUAAUAAAAGAGGAUUUCUAUAAACUUUGCAACCAAUUAUUUGACGGCAAUCUCAAUCUUGAAAGCAUUAAUGAUGGCUUUAUCACGCUGAUCCCAAAAAACAAUGGUCCUAGUACUUUGAAUGAUUUCAGACUGAUUACUCUUCUAAAUUGUUGCCUAAAAGUGAUCACAAAAAUUCUGGCUAACUGAUUGCAGAAGGUCAUUCUCAAAAUUAUUCACCGCAACCAGUACGGAUUUCUCAAAGGUCGCACCAUCCAAGACUGCCUUGCAUGGGCUUUUGAAUAUAUUUAUCAAUGCCAAAGCUCCAAGAAAGAAAUUGUGCUUCUCAAACUUGAUUUUGCUAAGGCAUUUGAUACAAUAGAUCAUGAGGCAAUGCUGGUCAUCAUGAAGAAUAUGGGAUUUAAUGACAAAUGGCUCGGCUGGAUCCAAUGCAUCUUCUCAUCAGGCAAAUCUGCAGUCCUGCUAAACGGUGUACCUGGUAGGCAAUUCCAUUGUAAAUGUGGAGUAUGCCAAGGUGACCCUCUGUCUCCACUAAUUUUCGUACUUGCGGCUGACCUUUUGCAAGCAGCGAUCAAUGAUGCAUUUUCACGUGGUGAGAUCAGCUUGCCUUUUCCUUGCAAUAGCCAGAAAGACUAUCCAGUGAUCCAAUACGCGGAUGAUACCAUACUUGCUAUGCCCGCAUGCUCUGCCCAAGCCACAACCAUCAAGAACAUACUCUCUGACUAUGCUACUUCAAUUGGCUUGAAGAUAAAUUUCCACAAAUCUACUCUCAUACCACUGAACUGUGAUCCAGAGACUACGACCGCACUGGCAGAUAUCUGUGGUUGUGUCAUUGGCAAGCUACCAUUCACCUAUCUCGGACUCCCAAUGGGCACUACUAAACCUACCAUUUUGGAUCUCAUGCCCCUUGUUUGCCGUGUGGAAAGAAGACUGUCUGCCACCCUCAAUAUGAUUUCUUACGGAGGGAAACUCACACUUCUGAACUCAGCCAUAACAUCUCUAAUAAUUUUCGCUCUUUGCACCCUCAAGCUCCCGACAGGCAUUAUUGAGCUUAUAGACAAAAUCCGAAGAAAAUGCUUAUGGACAAAGAAAAUAGACCAAGGUGACAAGUGCAACUCUUUGGCUUCAUGGGACAUGAUUUGGAAACCUAAAGAGUGUGGAGGGCUUGGCAUUCUUAAUCUUCAAGUGCAAAGUGAUGCAUUACUCCUCAAAUUCCUCCACAAAUUCUAUAACCACUGGGACCUGCCUUGGGUGGAAUUAAUUUGGAACACAUAUUACACCACUAAAAUCCCACAUGCAACAGAUCCGUGCGGCUCUUUCUGGUGGCGAGACGUCUCAAAACUCAUGCCAGUAUAUAGAGGAAUCAGCAAUGUGAUUGUUCGCAAUGGAUCGUCGGCUCUAUUUUGGAAGGAUGUCUGGAUUGGAGACGUUUUGGCUGAGACCCACCCCAGAGCCUUCUCCUUCACUCUUCAGGAGGACAUAUCUGUGAGAGAUUUCUUGUGCAGCACGUCUCUUAGUGAAACGUUCCUCUGCCACUCUCCACUCAAGCUCUUGAGGAGACACAAGAUUUACAACAGAAAACCAUGCAUGUUGAACUCCUAAACCCUCUAACUAAUGAAGAAUGGACAUGUAUUUGGGGAACCAACUACUAUUCAGCCAACAGGUUCUACUCCUUCUACUUCAAAGAUAUCCAUGCACACCAAGCAUACAGAUGGAUCUGGAAAUCUAAAGCAACAACGAAGAUCAAAGUAUUUGGCUGGUUCCUACUCUCGGAUAGACUCAACACCCGAGACAUGCUCAAAAGGAGACAUUAUAACAUUGGUAAUGAUUUUGGAUGCCUCCUUUGCACAAAUUGCAACAAUGAGACAGUGGACCACCUCUUCUUGGAAUGCACCUUUAGCCUUGAAUGCUGGGACAAAAUUCAGAUCAUGGGCCAUGUAGCGCCUACACGUCUAGAGUGGGUGGAACAAGCUAAAAUCUCUUGGACUAAACCACUUUUCAUGGAAAUCUUUAUGCUUGCUGCUUGGAGCAUCUAGAAGGAACGAAAUAAUAAGCACUUCAGAGGAGUGCUCCCAUCUCAAGCCUCCUGGCUUGCUAGGCUCAAGGAAGACCUUUCUCUCCUUACUUAUAGAGUAGGUGAUAAACAUAAACCCUUCCUCUCAUCCUUCCUUAACUCCUUGUAAAAAGUCUCCCCCCACCCUCAUUCCCAAAGGGGAUGAUUUGUAAAUGAUCUCAUGUAACAUACUUGCAUUCAUUAAUUAAAUUUGCAGUAGGAGACUCUCCUACUGUUUCAGGUGUCAAAAAAAUGAUUAGCAGAUCAGAGCUAAUAUUUACAUCACAACUGAAGACAAAGUUGUGAGAAGGUGUUAAAUUAAAAUUGAUCCAUGCUUUCAUUGGCAGCAACGUCCCCCCAGCUCUGUCUAAAUCAACAAGGCAUGUUGGGAAAAAAUUAGCUGUCUGGAGCAUGCAACAUUCCGAUCAUUUUGUGCAGUUCCACUAAAAUAGAGUUGAAUGUCCCAGUUCCAAAGAUAUUAAGUGUGAUUACGAUAAUAGAGGACUGCUGAUGAAACAAUAAACACACAAAUAGAAGCCGGUCACCUUUGCGGUCUCUCUUAAGACUAACUAGUUGGAGAAGAUUAAGCAAAUAGUUUUAGAAGAUUAGGCUCGGAGUUGGAUGAGGAGGAUAGAGCAAAACCAAUCUCCCUUUGUGCAGUCGCACUAAAAUGUAGAGACGUUGCCCGUGUGACAUUUUAGAACAACUGCACAAAACACUCUUAAGAAAAAAGUGAUUUGUGCAGUUCACCAAAAGGCCGCAAUAGCAACAAGGUGAAAUGGAUAGCCCUGUUUGCAAAAAAGAGGUAGAAAGGAAACUUACUGGCCAAUAACAGUUGAUGACACAUACAACGACAAAAAAGAAGCAUAUUCCUUGUCCUAAGGGAAGAUAACAACACGAUUGUGUUUGUCUAAAACGAUGUGAGGACGAGAUUGCAAUAUGGAAAGUACGCCAGGUGAGCUACGUUUUGGGCAAAGAACUAUGGAAGAUCCACAUGCAGCGAUGGGAAAACGGGCAGUGGAGCAAGGCCGGAGGGGAUACCUGGGGGUCGUCGGGAUGUAACUAGGUGAGCGGCGGUGGGCGGGGUCUUCCCCUACUGCGGCAGCGAGCAGGUGGCGUAGGCCCUACCGCGCCUGAGCUUGGGCAGAGAGAACGGCGGGCACCGCAGGUCGGGACGUGCUACCUCGGCGCCGUCGAACGGAGAAACGAUGCACAUCCUCCCGUUCCGCCAGCGUACAGGAUCCGAACGGAUCAGUGACCAAUGGUGGGAGAGAGAGAGAGAGGCCACCGCCGCCUUGUGUGAGAUACUCUAAAGAGAGACAAACCCAGGCAGGCAGGCUCCAUUGUAUAUAGUGGAGCGGACUACCUUUUUCUCCAUAAAAAUCGUUUUAUAUUCUAUGUACGUGCCAUUGAGCUAUAUAGCUUUAUUUAAAAUAAUGCGCUAAUGCAUCAAGUCGAACUUUGUUUCGUGCACGUGUGGUACACGACCUCCAUAGGUAAACAACCGCUACAGCGUUCAAAUUAGCACGUGGGCUGCCAUUUUCGUACAGAAAUGAGCUCCACCGUGUACCCGCGCAGGUGUGGCUGGGCAUGAAGCAUGAGUACGUGCACCUAUUCUCUUCGUGUACGUACACCACUUACGUGGGGUUGUGUGAGAGAGAUACAAACAUAGAGAGAUAUAGUGUGUGGGUUCGUGAGUGAUUUUUUGGAGGGGGGGUCAAUCAAAAAAUGUAACAUCUGCAAUGUGUGUGAAAUAGAGUCAUGGAUAUAUCAUAUAUAGAGAGGGGGCGAUCCACGAGAAGAGAGUGGAGGUAUCAUCGGCUUGAGGUAUCCAUAGAAUCGAAGAGAGGGGUGAUGUGUGUGUGUGUGCGCGUGCGCGAUCGAUAAAGAGUGCCAUCGAAUUUGUGUGUGCCCACGUCAAAGAUAUAGAGUGGCUGGCCUACUGGAACGUGAGAGGGGACAGGUGCAGUUUAUCUCUGUGGCAUGGAUACCUACCUACAGCGCUCGACUAUCGGUGUGUGGUGGGGGAGGCCUAAUUAAUUAUAGAGGUACAAUGGUUGGUAUAUGUGUGGAGGAGGAUAGAGGCCUACCUUAUGUAUUAAGGGAGAUCGAUCGGCAUCCAUGCAUAUGUGUAGGAGAGGAAUAAGGUUGGGAGAGAGACAGAGCUAGAGUGUUGGAGGGGGUGGUAGUGGAGUUGCUUCUAACAAAUGCUCGGAGUCAGUGGUGGACCUAGGAAUGGGCCAGGCCCCAGGCGAACUAGGCCAAGGCCCAGGCAGCUUAGUUGACUGUAGCAUUUUAUUGUAGCUACAGUGUUAAAAUAUACAAAGGAGAUGGGCCUUACGCCCCAGUCCAGCGCCCCUUCUGCCUAGGGCCUGAAUCCGCCCAUGGUGGGAGAGGCUUGCUAGACAAACGGAGGGCACGCCUGCAAUAUCAAUAAGAGAGGGGAUGGCUGCCUGUCUGUGCAUGUGCGUGCAAGAGACGGGUCAGGAGGCAUGCACGAAUGAUGAGGGGGGACGAUAUGGAUAUGGUAGGUAGACGUAACUACAUAGGAAGAUCAAUUGUCCUUUGUCAGAAAAAGGAGAGACAUAACUUGUGAGGUACGUCGAUCGAUGGGUGGGGGGAAAAUAGUUAAAGUCGACCUAGGUAUAUGUAGGGAGAUCGAUCGGUAUACAUGCAUGUAUGUGUUAGAAGCAAAUAAGGCCCGGGGAGAAGGAUAGAGAGAGAGGGAUGCAUCUAGGAGGUGGUGCGAGAGGCAUACUAUAUCGAGGGGGAAGGAGUGUGCGAGUACGCGAUCGAUGAAAAGAGUGGUGGGAGUGAGGCAUGGACGGUGAGAAGAGAAGAGGGGAAGCUUGUGUUUGUGGUAGGCACACCUGGCUAGAGAGGCAUAUCGAUCGAUGUGUGCCGCAAAGAAGGAGCUGGGGGCCUACACACACCAUGGGUGAACGACCUAAAGUGAAAAUACGAAUUUGCGCGAUGGAGCUAGAGAAUGCUGAGGGAGGGUGAGAGGCAUGCGGGCGUGUGCAUGCACGAGAGAAAGUUAGCGCUAGCUACAAAGAUAAGAGGAUUGUGUGGGUGUAAAAGACAAAUAGAGAUCAUAAUUCAUUAUAAAAAGUGAAUUCAAAUAUUUGAGGAAUUUAUCAUAGUGUUUUAAACCCAUGCAUGCGUGAAUAUAUAUAAUGGUGAUACACAUGGUGUGGUUAUGAACAUGUUAUACUACAUAUAAUAUAUUUUAUCUCUAUUCUUAUAAAAAAUAGAGUUGUUGAUGAUGGUGUGCCUGCCAUGGAUAGGAAGGAAACUAUGGCAAUUUUGAAAAAUGAUACCCACACCCCUCUCCAUAUUUGCAAACAAGGCCUGCCCUUGAUCAUGUUGAUGGUCAGUGGAACGCAUGGGCAUAUUGCUAGUACUACAUAUAAUAUAUAGAACAUUGAUUAUAAUUUGGGCUAAUGUGUGGCUUUUGCAGCUCAGGGUUAAAUACUUGUCAUAAUGUAGGGGCCGGGGCACUAUACUUUGUGUGAUAAACACGAUGUACGUAUGGAACAUGGUUUAGAUUAUGAAUAUAUAGUUAGUACAUCAAAUGUACUAUUAUUUGGAAUCAACAUCAGUGUAUUCAAAAAAUUGAAUUCGAGUUCAUAUAGUACACAUAGUUCAUAUCUAUCUCUAUAGUAAUCAUGUGGUGUGGUGUUAAGUUAUACACGAAUGAUGGUUGAAGUUGGCAACAAUCAUGAUUGUAGAUUCUUAUUGAAAUAGAGAAACGAAUUCAAAUUUAGUUCGAAUUGCAGCGGUAGUAUAGACAUUUGGAAUGCACUAAAACAUUGGUAUGAGUAGGUUACAUGCAUUAUACAGCCAACGAAAAAAUUAAUUGGACAUAACAUGUUGGUAUGAGUAGCUUUGAAUAGCAUUUGUAUAGUAAAACAGGACAAGACUCUCUCUUUGUGUGGUGUGAAUAGUUUUAUUUUUUUCAUUUUUUUCGUUGAGGGAAGUGCGAAUUGAUUUGGUACGUAUAUUACACGUUAGGCUUGUCCCUAAAAUUCAACCCGCGCCUUGUUAUAUCCCGAAAAUUUAGAUAUCGUGCUCCCAAAACUAGCGCCUUCACAACCCGCGCCUUGCUAUCCUGAAAUUACAACGCGCGCAAAAACUCCCUCUAGCUGCCAAAUCCCGACACGCGAAAUCCCCCUUCUAACCCUGAGCCGAAAGGGCCGCUAGUUCAAAUCGGUGGGGGUACUUUUGUAACACACCCUACAUUUUGGAUAAGCGCGUCCCUAAGUCAUGAUUCCCCCUCCCAUCGCCUCCUUUUCGCCAUUCGAAAUCUGGCCGCCAUAACCUCUCCACUCCAGUUGCGAAACCCCACCCUCCUCCGUCCGCCACCUCACCGUUGCCCAGCCGGAGCCUCUUCUCCGACGACGUCGUCCACCGCAACAAGUCGACGUCCCUCAUCCACCUCCCCGGAUGAGGAUCCGUCGUCCCGCCGGUUCAGCCGCCCCGUCCUCCACCUCCAAGGAGCUGCUCCGAUGAUCAUCUCGUCUAUCGUGGCUGCUCCAUCCCCACAGCGCCGCCUUAACCUGCUCCACCGGAACCGCAGCAUCCUCACCGACUCCUCGGACGAAGCCGAGGCCUACUCGGCGCCACCAAAGAGGUUGUACACUCAUCGCAUCGCACCUUCUCCUUAACUCGACCUCCCGGCGCCGACGGUGCUCCAUCCCGCACCCUCGUGGAGCGGCUACCUCGAAGCCGGCGCCGCGGGCGACAUCUCCACGGCGGCUCUCCCCUAGUGCGAGGCCCCUUCGGUGGCAGCGUCCAUACCAGCCGGAUCUGCUGCUGCUGCUCCAGCUCUUGCUCGCUUGCUCGCGCUGCUGUUGCUACUCUCCCCUCGCUCGUGCUGCUGCUCUACUCCGAUUUAGCUACACUUCAGUCGAUUGAAUCGACUUUUGGGUCAGUCGAUUUUCAGGGGGUGGGGGGUCUCGCCGGAGUUAAGGAAGAACCACCCACAGCGGGGACGGGGGCUCGCCAUAGAGGUACCCAACUAUCUACCUUAGGGUUCUGGGUGGGGUGCUGCUCGCCGGCGGUGGGGGCGCGGUCAUGGGGCGGUGGCGUGGGGAUCGCCGGAGAAAAAGUUGGCNNNNNNNNNNNNNNNNNNNNNNNNNNNNNNNNNNNNNNNNNNNNNNNNNNNNNNNNNNNNNNNNNNNNNNNNNNNNNNNNNNNNNNNNNNNNNNNNNNNNNNNNNNNNNNNNNNNNNNNNNNNNNNNNNNNNNNNNNNNNNNNNNNNNNNNNNNNNNNNNNNNNNNNNNNNNNNNNNNNNNNNNNNNNNNNNNNNNNNNNNNNNNNNNNNNNNNNNNNNNNNNNNNNNNNNNNNNNNNNNNNNNNNNNNNNNNNNNNNNNNNNNNNNNNNNNNNNNNNNNNNNNNNNNNNNNNNNNNNNNNNNNNNNNNNNNNNNNNNNNNNNNNNNNNNNNNNNNNNNNNNNNNNNNNNNNNNNNNNNNNNNNNNNNNNNNNNNNNNNNNNNNNNNNNNNNNNNNNNGGACCGACGGUGGGGAGUUGUUUCGGAGCGGUGAGGCGAUGGCGGAGCGACGGUGGGGAGUUGUUUUGGGGCACCAGCGGUGGGGAGUUGUUUCGGGGCGGCGCGGGGUUCGCCCGGUGGUGGCUGGCAGCUCAGGGGGGUGCAGGUUGAAGAUGAACUGCAGGCCCUCCCUAAACUAUCCCAUGUGAAGUGCCCUCUGCUACCAUUGCAUUCAGUUUCAACAGUAACAUUCAGAUUCCACAAUAAAUUUCAGUUUCGACAGUUAAGUUCAGAGUCAACAGUUACCUCAUCUGUUGUAGUCAGGUGGUUUUUGGUGAUGUAAAUUUUACAUCUAUCACUUUUUGGUAAUGCAUUUUACAUCAUCUAUUUGAGAUGCUAUUAGAAUACCACUUGAGAUUAACGAUGUUUGUCUUGUGCUGCUUUAGCCUUGACGUCUUAUGGCUCACCGGAGCUGCUCCAACGACGGAACGAUCCAUCACAACAGAGCAGUGCCCUGGACGCCGUCUACAGAUUCCUCAGAUCUUCCUCCACACCUCCGACAGCCACCUCUGCCUCAACUUCUUCAGCGACCAACCCAAUGAUGCUGAGGUCGACACAGCUACGGCAAAGAGGUUGUACACUUGUCGCAUCACUUAUUACUCUACAUUCAUGUCGAUCCAUUAGGGCUAUUGUGGUUCAACGGAAAAACAUAGCAAUAGGAAAUUUUCCUAGGGCACUCUACUAUUCAAUUAUUCAUGCAUUUUGUCGAAAGGAAUGGAGCAAAACAUCCACCUGGACCUACUUUUCAAAAUCCUAUGCAUGAAAACAAGACCAAGUGCAUUAGUGGCAGAAUAACAUUCUAACUGUACACGCUUUCAUAUGGUUUCACUUUAUUUUGGCCAUGUUUCUUUGCAUUCCUCUGCUCCUCCAGUUCCUGUGAACGAAACACCCAAGUUGACAGAAAUCCUGUGUUCACAAAUGCUCUGUUUCCCAUGUGCAUUCCUAUCCUAUUCCAGUGUUUUUCCUCCUAUCCCUGCGUUUUUAGAAUCAUGCAAGUCAAAUGAGCCCUUACAGAAUUACUUCAGUUAGAGGUAGGUGUCGAAGGAAACUUUGUGUGGUUUGUCCUGCUCCUGCCGCGACGUCGUCCACCUCACCUGAGCUGCUCCAUCGACAGAAGCAUCCACCAAACCAGACAUCACGACUCCUGACCGUCUUUCGCCCCCUCAGAUCUCCUUCCCUGCCGCCGGCACCCACCGCAACAGCAUCACCAUCAUCGACUCAGCAGAUGAACCUGAGAAGUACACGGGUCCACAAGAGAGGUUGCACUCUUUUGUUUAUGCUUAUGUUAUGCAUUGCUUAAAAUUACCUGCUACUUUAUCAUCAUUUUCACCUCUUAGACCCCAAGUCAGGUCCGAAUUAAUGUUCAAACUUGAGUUCUAAAUUAGUUGUGGGGCACAUAUCGAGGCAGCAAUGAAUAGUAUCUCUUUCUAAUAUCUGGUUCACCUAGGGUAUGCCUAUGUUGUUCAUCUUGGGUGGGAAACAAAUAGUAAAGCAAUCAUCAUCUGUCUUUUUAUUAAAUUAAAGCAAUCAUCAGCCUGCUAUCAUUAUUUUUGGAUCCAUCCACUGGUUGUUACCAUCCCUCUAGAGUUCUGGAUGCUCUCCUUACAUAAUCUCACCAUAUUUUUUCGUAUGCAUGUCAGAUAUUGUACACAAUCAUGCUGAACAUGUAGAGAAAAAGAGAAGAGUUUUGCGCGGCAAUACAAUGUCAUGCAGACAUCGCUCCAUGGUGGGUUCAAUGGCAACCCCCCCCCUCUCCAGAUUGUAAUCCAGAGGAAGAUAUCUGUUCUGAGGAGGAUUGACGCAGCUGACCACUCCUAUUUACCCACCAAGGUGUUAGCUCUACCUUGGCAUGAUGAUGUUAGUCAUAUCAUGCAUAUGUUGCCUUGCAGUGCCUACUUUUGACAUCAUAUAUGUCAUCUGCUUAGUUUAGACAUGUUCUGUAAUGCCACCUAUUUAGUUUCUAUAUCAUAUAUGGGAAUUAUGCAGUCUCAUGUCUUUUAGCCAGCCAUAAUAUAUGUGAAAUGUGCAAUGCCAUCCUGUUUAACCAGGCAUCAUAUAUUUGAAUGAUAUCUUGCCCAUCCUUUUCUUCAUUACAUUUCCAUUUGUCGACAAUGUUUGUACAUUAAACUAUUCUUCCCGUGAAUCAACCAUUUGGGUGGGAGAUGGAAAAAUCUGGAGUGAAAACAAGGCCUUCAGAGCAGACAGUGCUACCUGUCGAAGCAGAUCUCUUGUUGGGUCCCGAUAGCUCCUCAGAGAUGGAUUCAGAGACAGAUGACCAGUCCUAUUCCCCCACCGAGGUGUAUGCUCUAACUUGGCACGGUUAUACUUCUCAUAUCAUGCAUAUGGUGUCUUGCAUUGCAUAGUUUAGACAUCAUAUACACAAUAUUCAACACCAUGUUCUUAGUUCAGACAUCAUAUCAAAUGCCCUCUAUUUAGCAUAUAAAUCACAUAUGUGAAUUAAAUCAUGUGAUCCUGAUUACUUAGAUAACAUGUAUGUGAAUUAUGUCAUGCGAUCAUGUUUAGUUAUUCAUCAUAUCUUUGAAUUAUGUUAUGCUAUGCUAUCCAGUUUAGAUAGACAUCAUAUAUGUGAAAUUAUGUCAUGCUAUUCGUUUUAGUUAAACAAUAUACAUGUCAACUAUUUCAUGCCCUCUUUUUUCCACACUAUCUAUUGCAUCUGUCUCUCAUACAAUGUUUGUACAUUCAACUAUGUUUCCUGUUUAUCAGCCAUUUGAAUUGGAGCAGGUGAUGCCAGUAUCUAGCAGAGUAAAAACACGGUCUUCAAAUAAAACAGUGCUACCUCUUGGUGGAGAUAGCACCCCGGUUGUACAUGCACGAGAACCAGUCCUACCACACAUAACCCAGACUCUCGCAGAUUGUACCCCUACUGCGAUGGUCAGAGAACCAGCUUCACCCAAUCUAACCCCAACCCUAGCAGAUAGUAACCCAGUUCCUGUUGACACAGCACCAUAUCCACCACAGAGCUCCCAAACAAGAGCAGUUAGUAAGGCAGCUCCAGUGCCCAAAGGGCCAAUACUACCACGGCGAACCCCAACUCCACCAGUUAGUACGCCUAUUCCUGUGGAGGAAGCACAACCAGCCUGUCGUAGUUUAGCAUCUAUCGCAUUUGAUGUUGUUAAAUCCUAUGUGCGUAUCUUCCCAUCUUGGAAAUAUUAUACUGAAGAUGAAGGAAAAUGCCAGUUGUAGGUGUUUGUCCAGGAGUUAUGUCUAAGUAAUGUUAUUCAUGGCAAUUACUUUGCUUUGUCCCAUAAAUUCUACCUCCAUGAUGGUUAUAAUACAGCAAAUUUUCCCAUUUUUCUCUAUAGAGAAGGACCGAUUUGGAAACUCAGGAUGAGGUAACCUGUGCUAAUACCUCUGCUAUCUUCAAGAAUGCUUGGUGGCAGGAUCGGAAUUACCUCAAGAAAACGUACUUCACUGGCAAAGAAACUCAUCAAAUUCCCUUACGUUCUCCUAAGACACAUUUACUAGACGAUGACUGGGAACGCCUUGUUCUGUACUGGUCCCGAACCAAGAAUGUGGUAAGGUCCAUGAGCUCAUUUUUUUAAGUACUGUAUUCUUGUGUCUUACUGUACUCUGUUCAUGUAGAACAAGUGCUUAAACCUGAAGAACAACUGUUCUAUUUAAGAUUCCAUUGCUAUCGUGCAUACUGCUUUGCUCUUGUAUCACUGUAUUUACUCAUACAAACUUAUUUUUAAAUUAAAGGGUCCAAUCAAAACUCGAAUGGCACAGCAGGUAUGUUCACGCAUGUUUCUUUAACAGGUUUUCUCUUAUCAAUAGCUCUGUUGAUUUCAAUUUCAAUUGUGUAUACAGUUGACUUCUCAUAUCAUGCACAUUACUAGCAUCACAACAGAGCCAAUAGUGUUGUUGUACAUGUAGACCCGUCGUACCCAUCUGAAAUCUUGUUGUGCCAUGUAGUUUCCCACGUUUUGUAUUCUUUCACUGCUGCUUUGUCUUGAACUGAUAUGAUUUGAACCGUGUCUCUAUUUUGAUUUGGCAAGACAAUGCAGUGACCAUAGGACAUAGAUAUAUGUUUGUUUGAUGCUUUUAUUAUGUACUAGUACUUGGCAAUAGAAGACUUGGUGGUUUAAUCCUGUCCACCUUACUAAUGAACUGGUUCACCGAAAUGAGUUUCAUAUACUAGUACAUGCUAAACCUGUUAUGUGUCUGCUUGUUUCUUCUUUUAGAAUGCUGACAGAAUGUUGGGGAAGAGUGCCUUAUUAAGCAAUGGUAAAGGAAGUAAUGCAGAUAAGGUUCAGGAUAGUGAGAUAACCUUGUUGGUCUCCAACAAAGCUGAUAAAACAGCUAAGGAAGACUAUCUUGAAGACAAUGAGACAACCCCAAAGUCCUGUCUUGGUUUAGUGUUCGAGUUACUGGCCACUACCUCUUGCACAAGCUAUUCAAACUCACUGUCUGAAUCAGUUCGGUUUCUUGAGUCUCAACUACAAGCGGAAAGACAUUGAUCAGCUAUGCUGCGACAAGAAGCGGAAGGACUGCGGAAGUCCCUGGAGCAUUCAGAUGCAUACUUUCUGGUGCAACAGCAAGCGUGGAGGCUUUUAGCGCCAAAUAGGACAAAGCUAAUAAGCUUGCUAAGCUUAUUGCCAGCAUGGUGGAUACCCAGGAUAACGUUUCUUGAGCUUUUCUGAAGCUGUUUCAGUUAUGCUUUUGUUUUGCUGCCGCGUUUAUUUGCACUGGUGGCCAAUUUUGACGGCCAGUGUAUGUAAUAUGCUGCUUUGUUCCCUAUAUUUGCACUGGUGGCGAACUUGAUGCCCAGUGGAUGUAAUAUGUGUAAUAGCUGUAAUAGGCUAGCGUUAGUUGCUUGCUUAUUUAUUUCCUUAUUGUCUUGUUUAGUUGUUUGCUUGUAGUCACUACAGUUCUUUUUCCGUGUUUUUCUAGUGGCCACAAUAACCUAUUUUUGGUAACUAGGCCACAAUAAUCAUGGCAACACACAAACUGUUGUAACCAUGGGCCUCCUGUGGGCCGUAGGAUCCAUGGGCCUUCUACGGACCAUAGGAUCCAUGGGCCUUCUACGGGCUGUAGGAUCCAUGUCCUGUCUACGGGCCUUAUGAUCCAUGGGCCUUCUGCGGGUCGUAGGGUCCAUUGGUAUUCUAUGGGCCGUAGGAUCCAUGGGCCUUCUACGGGGCGUAUAAUCAUUUCGCCAAACAUGGGCCGUACUAUUCGUGGACCAUAACGGGCCGUUGAUAUGUCGUAUUUGAUAACGCUAUGAAGACAGCCCAACGGGUUAACGGGCCACAAACAGGCUGAAUUUGGCCCACAAACGGAACAGGCCAUUGACGAACCGUAACUAAUAGAAUUCUAGAAAUGAGCCCAAGAAUAAAUGGGCCCUUAGAAGGCCGAAAUUUAACACGGGCUGGAAACGGCCGACGGAAUAAUGGGCCGUUAAUGGGUAUAAAGCGAUACACUGUUCAUUAUGGGCCAGUUUCAUCUCGGGCCUUUAUUGGGCCCAGAGUUACGAUGGGCCUCAUAUGGGCCGAAAGACAUCAUGGGCCAUACAUGGGCCGGAAAUAACAACGGGCUGGAAUCAUAUUGGACGGCCCAAAUGAAGCCACUGGGCUUAAUUCCGAUAGGCCAUAACGGACCAGGAGUUAGCGGGCCGUAAAUGGGCGAUAUACGAACAAGCCGUUAACAGCUUUCCGUGGGCCGUCCCGUUACCUUUUGACCAAGUCAAACGGGCCGGCUUUUUCACCGGAAUGGGCCUCUGUUGGGCCGUGCCACGUGUCGACGUAUCAUAUGCGCCUCCUGUCCAAUGAGUGGAUGACAUCUGUCCCAACGGUGAGCCAACACGUGUUUCCUCUGGCCAAUGAGAAUUUUACACGUGGAAAAUCCCCAUUGGUCCGGGCUGUUAACGGGUUAUCGGAUCCAAAACCGGACCCGAUAGCUUAACGGCGACCUGUUAUGGCGGAUGCCACGUGUCGGUCACCCUUGACGAAAACACUUCUAUGACGCGUGAUUUAUUGUCAUGGAAGUGGACACUUCCAUGAUGAUAAUUUUGGUAAUGUCAUGAAACACUUCUACGACAGGACAGGUGAAAGAUCGUGGAUGUCGCCUAGAGGGGGGUGAAUAGGCGCUUUAAAAUAAUUACGGUUUAGGCUUGAACAAAUGCGGAAUAAACCUAGCGGUUAAUUUGACAAGCACAAAACCUACAACAACUAGGCUCACCUAUGUGCACCAACAACUUAUGCUAAGCAAGAUAAACAACUAAGUGAUAGCAAGAUAUAUGACAAGAAACAAUAUGGCUAUCACAAAGUAAAGUGCAUAAGUAAAGGGUUCGGGUAAGAGAUAAACGAGGCACGCGGAGACGACGAUGUAUCCCGAAGUUCACACCCUUGCGGAUGCUAAUCUCCGUUUGGAGCGGUGUGGAGGCACAAUGCUCCCCAAGAAGCCACUAGGGCCACCGUAAUCUCCUCACGCCCUCGCACAAUGCAAGAUGUCGUGAUUCCACUAAGGGACACUUGAGGGCGGUCACCGAACCCGUACAAAUGGCAACCCUUGGGGGCGGUCACCGAACCCGUACACUUUGGCAACCCUUGGGGGCGGUCACCGGUACCCGUCAAAUUGCUCGGGGCGAUCUCCACAACCUAAUUGGAGACCCCGACGCUUGCCCGGAGCUUUACACCACAAUGAUUGAGCUCCGAACACCACCAACCGUCUAGGGCGCCCAAGCACCUAAGAGGAACAAGCUCAAGGGCACCAAGCACCCAAGAGUAAUAAGCUUCUCAACUUGUAACUUCCACGUAUCACCGUGGAGAACUCAAACCGAUGCACCAAAUGCAAUGGCAAGGGCACACGGAGUGCCCAAGUCCUUCUCUCUCAAAUCUCACCGAAGCAACUAAUGCUAGGGAGGAAGAUGAGAGGAAGAACAAGAAGGAGAACACCAAGAACUCCAAGAUCUAGAUCCAAGGGGUUCCCCUCACAAAGAGGAGAAAGUGAUUGGUGGAAAUGUGGAUCUAGAUCUCCUCUCUCUUUUCCCUCAAAAACUAGCAAGAAUCCAUGGAGGGAUUGAGAGUUAGGAAGCUCGAAGAAGGUCAACAAUGGGGGAAGAACACGAGCUCAACGGAUAAGGUUCAUUGGGGAAGAAGACCUCCUUAUAUAGUGGGGGGAACAAUCCAACCGUUACCCCCCACACCAGCCCCGUAGAGAGCGGUACUACCGCUUGGCCAGCGUAACUACUGCUCCCCCUCGCGGUACUGCCGCUGGGCCCAGAGCGGUACUACCGCGGUGGUCAGGGCGGUACUACCGCAUACGAGCGGUACUACGGCCCCCACUGCCGCGGCUAGUACCGUAAAACCCGACACGAAAAAGACCCCUCGAAUCGAGGCGGUACUAGCACGAGACCGCAGCGGUACUACGGCUGGGGGCUACCAGUGGUACUACCGCUUGUAGCACCCAAGCGGUACUACCGCUUGUAGCACCCAAGCGGUACUACCGCUCCGGCCCGCGGUACUACCGCUAGGAAACCAAAACUGCCAUAACUUCUGCAUAUGAGCUCCGAAUUGAGCAAACUCAAGCUUGUUGGAUAGAGGAAGACGAGUAGCAUCAAAACAGCGGAGGUAUGCCAACAAAUAGAGGAGUGAAACCUCCAACCGAGAAGAACCGGCAUAACCUCCAACAUCGAAAACAUCAUAGAAGAUGCGAGUGAACUCCGUUUUCGAUGAACUCGAGCUUGUCAUCAAGAUGACCAUAAGCUCCAAAACUCACAAGGAGAAGAACCAAACAAGAACCAAUAAAGAUGAUGCAAUGAUGCAAUGGUUUGAGCUCUCUAUGAACGAUACGAUCAAGCUACUCAUCGAGAGCCCCCCUUAAUAGUACGGCAAUCGAUCCUAUAACCCGGUCUCCCAACUACCAUCAUGAGACCGGUAAAAUAGAAAACCUAUCAAGAGAAAACCUUUGCCUUGCACAUGGUCCACUUGAGCUAGAUGAUGGCAAUCUUGACUCCCUCAAGUUGGACCACCUUUCUUGGUUGCGUUGGCUCGAUGAAGACUAGUUGAUUGCUCCCCCAUGCUCCACUAUGGGUGAGCCACUCUUCCGCACAUCUUCACAAGUCCAUUGUCACCACAAUGGACGGCAAGCUUCAAGCAUUUGAUCUCUUCAUGAUGCUUCACUUCAACUUGCACACCGCAACAUCUUCACAAGUCCAUUGUCACCACAAUGGACGGCAAGCUUCAAGCAUUUGAUCUCUUCAUGAUGCUUCACUUGAACUUGCACACCGCAACCAAACCCCACAAAGAACUCUCACGAAGAUCAUGGGUUAGUACACAAAGCGUAAUUGACAAUGCUUACCACACCAUGGGAUCGCUUGAUCCCUCUCGGUACAUCUUCUACGCUUUGUGAGUUGAUCAAGUUGAUUCACUCUUGACUUAGUCUUGAUCAACCAUGAAUCUUUUCAACUCUCUUCAUUUGGAUGAUGUCUUGAAGAUAUACAUGAAUGAUCACACAAUCUUCUUCUCCAAGACAUGCUUGCAAUAAGCUCAACUCUCACAUGACCAAUCUUUGGAUAAUUCCUUAAUAACACCUUGGUCACCACAUAAACUCCUUGAAACCAACACAUGAACUUCAAGAAAUGCCUAUGGACAAAUCCUUCAAAUAUAACUCAAGGCAACCAUUAGUCCAUAGAGAUUGUCAUAAAUUACCAAAACCAAACAUGGGGGCACCGCAUGUUCUUUCAACAGGUAUGACUAUCUUGAUUCUAUCAUAAAAUCGUCAUGGAUGUACAUGCAUGACAGAAAACGUGACCUACUGUGACAAACACGUAUCAUCACGGAAGUGUCUUUUUUUGUAGUGCAUUCACCUGAAGCCUUUCAAGGCACCUUUUGGGAACCCAGAUUUUCUUCAUGGGGGGGCGUUCCUGCAGUUAGUGCCAACAUAUCUAGCAAAUACUUCACCAUUCUGAUUUUUGAACAGCUUAUAGUUGGAGUCAAAUGACUCAUCAGAAGAAUGAGGAGAUUCACAUGUAAAGCCAGAUAAGGUAGGUGGAUCUACUGGAGGUCCCUUUGCAGCAACCCAUGAGGUUUUGGGAUACUACUUAGGCUUCCAGUAUGUUCCAUCAGCAUUGAGUUUCCUCUCAAAGGCAAUACCCUCUUUCCUAGGGUUCCUGUUGAGGAUUUGCUUUUUAAGCACAUCACAAAGUGCCUGAUCCCCUUUGAGGCUUUUGUACAUGCCUGUCAUAUACAAUUCCUUCAGCCCUGCAUUGUCAGUGAUACUAGCAACAUCCUCAGAUGAGCAAUUAGUGAUAGCAGAGACAUAUGAAGAAAUUGCAGCAAUAGAAGCAUUUGAACUUUCAGGUGAAGAAUUAGCAGAUUCACGUUCAAUGCACUUCAAACAUGGUGGAAUGAAUUCUUCUUGAGCAGCACUGAUCUGCUGAGCAAGCAAUGAAUCACGUUACUUCUAAAGAUCUUCAUAACUCUCCCUUAGCUUCUCAAGAUCUUGCUUUCUUUGAAGAAAUUCAUAAGAAAGCUUCUCAUGAUCAGAUAAGAGAGUGUUAUGAUGACUCUGAAGGUUAUCAAACUUGGACUGAAGUCUCUGAAGAUUAUCAGUCAAGGUUUGAGUGCGAUCCAUUUCUUCACCCAACAGAUCAUCGCUUUUGUCUAGCAUAUUUUGAACCUUUUCAAAAGCCUUUUGUUGUUUCACAGCAAGCUUAGAAAGUUUAGAGUAGCUAGGCUUGAGGUUUUCAUCAGAUUCAUCCUCACUUGAUUCAGAGGAGGGAUAUUUAAGUACCUUGGCACCCUUUGCCAUGAAGCAAUAGGAGGGAGCGUAGUCAUCAUCACCGUCGUCAGCCUUGUUGGGGAAGACAUUUUCCUCGGAGUUGAAGAUGGACUUGCUAAAGAACGCAUUAGCAAGGGCUAGGCUCGCCACACCAGAUUCUGACUCCUCAGAUGCCUCCUCUUCCUCAUUUUCCUCAGAUUUAGCCUCAGAGUCCAUUUCCUUGCCAAUGAAUGCCCGAGCCUUCUUAGAACUGCUCUUCUUGUGUGAUGAAGACUUCGAGUAUUUUGAUGAUGAAGACUUUGAAGAUUUCUUCUUCUUCUUUGAGUCAUCAGAACUGUAAUCCUUGUAUUUCUUCUUCUUUGAUUCCUUUUCCCACAGAGGACAAUCUUGGAUGUAAUGGCCAGGUUUCUUGCAUUUGUGGCAAGUUCUCUUCUUGUAGUCACGGGAUGAGGAAUUUGAUCGUAUGUAAUCACUUCUUGAGGAUUUUCCAAAGCGAUCACGCCUUGAGAACUUCUGGAAUUUCGUCACGAGCAUUGCUAGCUCCUGGCUCAGUUCUUCAGGAUCACCAAGGCUGCUACCAGAAUCUUCACUUCAGAUUCAGACACUGCCUUGGCCUUCAGAGCGCGUGAUCUGCCAUAGCUCGGUCCAUAGAGAUCUCCCUUCUCAGCAAGUUGGAACUCAUGAGUGUUUAGCCUCUCGAGGAUAUCAAGCGGGAUCAAGUGACUUGUAGUCUCCACGUUCCUGUAUCAUUAGUGCAAGGGUGUCAAAUGAGGAAUCAAGCGAUCUCAGCAAUUUCUUCACCACCUCAUGGUCGGUGAUGUUAGUGGCACCAAGUGCUUGAAGCUCAUUUGAGAUGUCAGUGAGGCGAUCGAAGGUUUGCUGAAAUUUUCAUUGUCGAGUCUUUUGAAGCGGUUGAAGAGAUUGCGAAGAAUGUCAACUCGAGAGUCACGCUGUGUUGAGACUCCUUCAUUGACCUUGGACAGCCUAUCCCAGAUAAGCUUAGUUGUCUCCAAAGCACUCACUCUGCCAUACUACCCUUUGCUCAGAUGGCCACAUAUGAUGUUCUUCGCUUGAGAGUCGAGUUGCUUGAGUCUCUUCACGUCAGCAGCGUUGAUGGUAAGAGUGACAGAGGGAACACCAUUUUCCACAACAUACCAGAGAUCAUUGUCAAUUGCCUCAAGAUGCAUUCGCAUCUUAUUCUUCCAGUAGGGGUAGUCCGUCCCAUCGAAGGUAGGACACCCAGCAGAGACCUUGAUCAUACCUGCGGUCGACAUAACUAAAACUCCAGGCGGUUAAACCAAAAUCACACAGAACAAGGGAGUACCUUGCUCUGAUACCAAUUGAAAGUGCGAUAAGUCGACUAGAGGGGGGUGAAUAGGAGAUUUUUUCAAAUUCGUCACUGAGGAAUUUCAGGCGAAGAAAUUACUAAGUCACGAACUACAAGCAGCGGAAUAAGUACUCAAAUGCAAACAUAACAGAACAUAAGCACAGUCAUCAUGAUGAAAUGAAAACAGGCACAGAGUACAGAAAGCAUAAACACAGGAUAAGCAGGCUGAAGACAAACUGACUGAAGAAAUUGAACUGAGGAAAUUGAGAAAGUCUUCAGUCAAAGUCUUCAGAUAGUAACGAUCAAGUACACUGUAACAUCCCAAAAUUCUAAAUUUUGGAAUGUUAUUAUAAAUAAAUAGUUUUGAUUGUUUGUUUGAUUGUUUGUUUGAUUGUUGUGUGAUUGAUUGACUGAAAGUGAGUGAAAUUCGAAACUUUUUGUAAGUUAAAUGAGAGGGAAUAAAGGGACUUUCCCAAACUUUCGUUUUGCAUUUACGAUCUUCGUGAAUUCAAAUUAUUUUCAAAUACAAAACCCUAGAGAGAAGAUGACAUGACUUCUUCCAUUUAAUUAAAUGAAAAGGGUUUUUGAAAAUAUUUGAAGUCCAUUUGUAAAUAUUUCAACUUCAGAAACUAUAAGCAACUCAAUGAUUUUCACGAGAGAGGAUAAAAUGACUUCUUCAAAACAUAUGAAAUAUGAGUUGGAAGUUUUAAAAAGAAUUAAAUCUAAAGUCCCAUUGGAAUUGUUUUCAAUUUGGGGUUUUUUUUAAUUCAAAUUAUUUUUCUCCAAAAAUAAAAUAUAUGGAAAUUAGGGUAAAAUGAUUCCCUACGUCAGAACAUUGGAGAGAAAUAAAUUUGAAUUAAUUUUGGUAUUUUUAAAAUGAUUUUUAUUGGGUUUUAUUAUAGCAGUAGCCCUCUUUGCUUUAUUUGAAUUUUUGUAGAUUUUAUUUGGAGCUAGAAUAAUGUUCAUGUCGUAGAAAAUCUUUUUCUGAAAAUUUUGAUAUAUUGUAUGCCUAUAUAAUAUUCUUAUUUAUUUUGUUUUAUUAUUUUUGUUUGUCUAGAAAAAUGUAUUUCAAAAAAACUCUUCGGGCUAGCUGGGCCGAAGCCCAGCCAACCGGCCCAACCGCGCCGUCUCCCUCCCGGGCGGACUCCGCCGCCCACAUGCCGGUCGCCGCCGUGCCGCCCCCGGACACCCGCCGCCGCCUUUGCUGCCCCAUGCCCACGCCACCACCUCUCCUGAGGCAACCCCUCCAUAAAUACCGGAGCCCCGGCCCCCUCGACCCUGCGUCGCCGACGCCACAUCGCCGCCGCAGAUCGCCGCCGCUGCAGCUGCCUCUGCCUCGCCGCCGACGCCGCGCCGCAGCCGCUCCUCUCCCCACAGCCGUUCCUCUCCCCGCGCCGCUCGCCGCCGACCCCGCGCCGCUCGCCGCCAUAGCCAGCGCUGCUCGCCGGAGAUCGCCGGAAACCGCCGCCGUUGCCGAAACCCGAUCUGCCGCCCCGGUCCGCCCAACCCGCCGGUUUUCUUCGAACCGUCGCGAACCGGUAAAAGACCGCCAAGGUCCGGUUUAAUUUUUUAGGUUUCCUCGGUUUUCUAUUAGUCUGGUUUUAUUUUUUUUGAUCGGUUUAGUUAGUUAGGUUAAGUUAUUAGCGGACGUUCGUCCGUUAGGUUCGGCAGCGAACGAUUUUCGUUCGUUAGGUUCUGUUAGCGAGCGUUCGCUCAAUAGAUUUUUCUUUUCUUUUUAUUUUCGGCCAGGGACCUAUUCGUGAUAAAUUUUCUUCACAAAUUAGUCCAUGUACUUCAAAUGAUCACUACUUUCUACUCGUUUGUCCAAAUCCAACGAAAUCAAUGCCCACUUCUUCGUUAUGAUCCCCUCUAUCCAGUAAAACAACUUAAACAUAUUUUUGAAAGUUUAAAAUUUGAUUUCAAACAGAUUUGAAUUUAAACUUCUUUUGUUCAUAACUCGAGUUUCAUAACUCCGUUUGAGUUGAUUCUUUUUGCAAAUUGAAGCUCUUGACCUAAACUUUCUGAUAAGGCCAAAUCCACAUAAUUUGGCACUGUUAGAAAUUGUUUUAUGUUGCAAGAGUUAUUUGCUUGGUUUUGAUGUUUUCCGAAUUGUCUUCUUCGUUCUUUCCGAUCUUUUGAAUGAUUGCUUAUGUGUGGUUACUAUUGCUUGCUCACGAUAGAUUGACCGGAGUGUGACGAGUAGAACUAUCAGGAGUUAUGAGUGCGAAUCAUCUUCAUCCAUAGUACAAGGCAAGUUCACACUUUGAUCAUAUCCCUUUCAUACCCAGUUUUUAUGCAUUAGUUUCACCCUCAAACAUUGCAUGGUUAGGAUAACAUGUGGGUAUUGGGACGUAGUUGAUGAGGUAGGAACCUAUUGUCCUGCAUUCAAACCUUGGGAGUUACUUCUACGUUAUGCUCAUACUGCUCUGCUAAGCUCGUAGACGUGGAUUGGUUGAGUGAUUCAUGACAGAUUGUGAGAGUUAUUAUUUAAUGGUUAACUUAAGGUGGCUACUUUAAAACACAUCUGGGUGGAAUGGUAGGGGCACCCUGGAGCACCCAGUGGUUUGCCCGGGCACCUGGAGAACCCAGUGCUUGCCCAAGGGGAUCCCGGAGGACCCGUGUGAUCACCCUAUGGAAUGCCACCCAGGCUCAAAGGGAUCAUAAGAUUAUUCAUGCUAGAAACUUCCGUGUGCAGCCACAAGCUAUUAUGGGCUCUAGCAUCGUUGAGUAAGUUGCAUGACCUCUUCAAGUGGUAGGCUAGCAAAUGUAGGGGAUGUAGGUUGGUACUGUCUACCCGGGGUUAGAGUUAAUGCUUCUGAAAGACUGUGUCUCGGUCAUCCGUUUCUCAAACACCAUGAAGUGCGAGAAAUCCAACGGAGGAGAUCGAGUCUUGUGGGGAAAAGUGCGCAAACCUCUGCAGAGUGUACAAACUAAUCAUGAUUAGCCGUGUCCCCGGUUAUGGACAUCUUGAGUAUCUGGUUCUUGAAUUAUCAUGUUGAUCUCAUCAUGUUACUAAAUUAAUUGUUGGGAUGUUAGCUUUUAAUUGGGAUUGAGUUGGAGGAACCUUCUCAAUGUUUCAACAAACUUUGUAGAUAAAUAAAAUAUAUUCCUUUGCAGUAGGGAAAAUUGGCUUUUCGCAAAAACAUCAUAACCCUAGAGCUUUCCACCAGCCAAAUAUGCAUGUAUUGAUAGUUAUUAUUCAUCAUUAUCCUAUGGUGUGAAUUUGCCAGUACAUUCAAUGUACUGACCCUUUGUGGCUGCAACGUCUCAUGUUGCAGGAAUCUUACGACGAGUAAGUGAUACGUUAGGGUUACGAUUUCUACACUCAACUUUGUCGUUGGUGUUGAUGGGAAUACACAACCUUGUUGUUACUUCCACUAUUUGGACUGAGGUAAUAGUAUUUACGUUACUCUAUACAUGUGAUUUACCUCUGUUAUAAAUCCUCAAGUACUGUGUGUGUCAGCAUACCGAUCCAGGGAUGACACUUAAGCACAGAGACUUGACCGUCUGAGGUCGGGUCGCUACAAGAUGGUAUCAGAGCACAUGUUGACUAUAGGACGUGACCCCUAGAAACUGGCAAGCCCAUAGAAAAGAAUUUUUUCUCUACAACUUCCUUUACAAAAAGACCUUUUACCUCUCUUCUCUUCUGAGCUUAUUCCAAUAUUCCCUUUAUUGAGACCAUACCCCUUCCCCCAUUUGACCACUCGAAGAUUCGGCUGAUGAGACCACUCCAAGAAGUACAAGAUAUCGGACAACAAAGACCACUUCGGAAUGAAGAGGAUUUUUCCGUGCAUUAGAGUAAUUGAAACUACAACGGUUGAAGACUCCUAAGACUAGGAGACAAUGAAGGCUCUGAAGAAUUCCAUAUUUGUAUGACCUAGGAAGGCUACCCUUAUGGAGCUUGUCAGACUGUUAAAGCUGUCAAUACCCGAGAUCAAGGUGUGUCGAAGAAAGACCAAAACAUGGAGCGUUAAAACUCAAAGAUUUUGUCAAGAAAACCCUAAGGCAGGAGAUAUCAACUAUGGAAUGAUAGUUCAUGUCAAUGACCAGGGCAGAAAUAUGGAUAUCCAAGAUGUUAUCACCCGCUUAUGCUAUUGUCACCGUACUGAGUUAAGCAUGCAUUUCUUUGGAAGGAUUGGAUGCUAGAAGGCUGAUGGAGCAUCUAUCAGCAAAAGAUGAAGUUUUAACCUUAGCUGGUGUAUCGCCAGGAUCUGGAAGUAUUACAUCAAGAAUUUGAUGGACCAUUAGGAAGCCGUAUUUUGACAAGGAACAUUUUGUGAAGAACUUAGGACCCAGAAGCUGAAAGUAGCCAAGCUGUAGGAGCAAACCCUCGAGAUACCGGAUAUUCAUCAGUAUGACCAUGGUUUAUGCCAAGGAUGUUGAAACCCAGAAGUUUGGAACGCAACCAGAAAUAUUAAAGGACGUCACGGGAGACUUCACGUUAACAGAGAUGAUCUGGCAAAAGAACUUGAGAAGGACAAGCACGAUCGGAAGAAGCCCAUCGGAGACAUGAACAAGACUUGAGGAGUUUGAUGACUUUGAAGAUUUAUUGACCAUUAGAAGACCAAACCCCUGUUAUAUACUUACGUUAGAUGCGACGUUUGUGAGCUGUCAUUUGUUUGAUGUUUUUUUUCGACGGCCACAAAAUAAAAUCUGUCUUUUCAAAACUUUUGUUUGUAUUGUGUGUAUCCCUCUCUAUCUCUCUCAUCCCACCCCAAAACCCAUGGACCAAUAGAGAAGGAAUGGAGAUGAACUCAUAUUUCCUGGACCGAUAAGUCAAUUGGAGACGGACCGAUGGAUUCAUAACAUGGAAGAUCAUAUGGAGAAUAACACUAUAGCCGGAAAGGAUAUGGCCCAACAUGCUCUUCAGUGCUUUGAAAGAGGUGCUACUACUUGGUGGAGGAUGUACCAAACCAUCAAUGGAUGGCAACGAGUAACCACUUGGAAAGAAUUUAAGUUGAGUCUAAUAAAAUCUCGGCUUGUGUCCCAGAAGAUGAAGCCUUAUGGAAAUGAUAUGAAGAAGCCUUGUACAUGCAAGCCCUGUGGAGAAAUAGGACACAACCAUAAAGAACACAAGGAUGAAUGCCCAAAUUGUGAAGGAAGUCACCCAGCUGAAGAAUGCCCAACUAGGUAGACUACUUGUUUCUUAUGUGAAGGGACUAUCCACUACCCUACUCAGUGUCACAUUUACCACAUGGUACAAUGAACCAUCCAGCAGAAGAAAGAACUAAUGAAAGGAGCCCUCAUGGAAAUUUUAGAAGAACCUGUGAUGAAGGAAGAGGUGGAGGACACACCCAAAGAGGACCCAAUUAAACCCUGCACCAAGUCAUGCUAUUCAUGUGGAGAAGAAGGACACAUCUCCCAGAAUUGUAUGAAAGGGGAUCUAGUAGAAUUCCCGACAGAGGAAGUAGAGCAUGACCCACAGGAAAUAGAAGCCUUGAUUGGAACGGAAAAGUCCAGGAAGAGAAAUAGAUUGGAUUUCAGGAAGGACCUGAGUCAUAUCACCUGUUUCAGGUGCAAGGAGUCAGGGCACUACUUCAGCAGUUGCCCAAAAAGGAAACCACGAGACUUGUUAGAAGUAAUAUGUUUCCAUUGUAAUGAAGUAGGGCACUUUGCCAGAGAAUGUCCCAAAGAGAAGGAGGCUUGUGCUAAAUAGUUGUGUUGCAACAAAAGAAGUAUAGUAGUAGUAGUGAGAACACUCCUUUAUGUUGAGGUGAUGAGUUGAGGCAUGUAAUGGAAAUGCAGGAGAUUGUAAUCGUUGGAGAAACAAUAAAGUUAGCAUUUUUGGUACUGAUUUGGAUUUUAUGAGUUGUUACUCUAUGAAGAAAGAUUUUGACCAUUUUCGAGGAUAUGAGAAAUAUGGUCUAUGGAAGAAUUGGAGCAUUUUAAGGGUGGUAGUACCCUGUGAGGACACUAAACCCCUGGAAAAGAUGAUGAUAUUCCACGAAGUGGACUUCGAACAAAAUAAGAAGGAGUUUUGUCUCGAUAUGUGGGGUAUCCCCAAGAAUAUGAAGAGAUGAAGUACUAUUGGAUAUAAAGGAGGUAUAAUGUUGGUAAUAUGGAGCAAUUGUGACUCUAUGAUGAGUCUGAGUAAUCACAUCUUAGUUUGGUACCAAUAAAAGGAAGGGAGACAGUGCAAUUGGAUGGAUUUAAGAAUGCUAGGAAGCUAGAAGUUGAAAUAACAAGCAGUUGCCCCGAUGAUGAGUUCAAGGUUUACAAGUGAUGAGAUGGGCCAUAACCCACAGGCCCCAGGGCCUGCCAAGAAGCAAGCACAUUCUUGCUGAAGGAAAAAACCCUGCAAUAAGUUACGAUUUUAUCGACAGACGAUUUUAUAGGAGUAACGCAAAACCUGAGAGUUGUGAAGGAACGAUAGAUGUUUGUUUGGCUUGCAGAAUGCAUGGAUUUAUCCGACCUUAGUUCGUCGACAAGAGAAAUUCUGCAAUGCUUGUGAGGAUGACCGAGUGUUAGAAUGCGAGAUUCGCUAAACCAUAUACAAGUAAUGAUUAGGGUGCGGGAUGGAUUGAUCACCAUACCGACUUACUCUUAUUAUUCGCCUUGCUAUAUGGGAUGGUAAAUCUGAGUGACUUGCCUAUAGUAGAGAGACGACGAUAUUAAGCCUGAUUAAACCUUAGAAUGGUAUGACAAUUUUCCUUUGUACAAGGCAGCUGCUGCCAACCGUAGGAUUUACCAUGAGGUUCAGCCCAGACCCAUUUCCUGCAGGAGAAACCAUAAAUGGUCGACCACCAUGAGAUAUCGAUAGUUUUUUAGUAUUGGCGCCAGACCCGUCAGCUCAGAAGACCCAGUCACAGAAUAACCUUACCAAGAUAAAAGGACACAAGAAUUGAGGCAAAGGUUAUGCCACUACCGGAAGAGCCCAGAGAAAGAAUUUUCCCAAGAAUCUGAGAAGACCGACACUGUCAAGAAUAAGGAUGGAGUAUAUGAGUUUUGAUGGAACCGUAACAAUGCUUCUAAGGAUGGUAGCACCCGAGACCCUGGAGACGAUCGAUGGAUUUUGAGGAGACCCCGAACCUAACCUAUUUCUUGCUAGCCUCUAAGAAUCUCGAGGACGAGAUUCAUUUUAAGGGUGGUAGAUUUGUAACAUCCCAAAAUUCUAAAUUUUGGAAUGUUAUUAUAAAUAAAUAGUUUUGAUUAUUUGUUUGAUUGUUGUGUGACUGAUUGAAUAAAAGUGAGUGAAAUUCGAAACUUUUUGAAAGUUAAAUGAGAGGGAAUAAAAGGACUUUCCCAAACUUUCGUUUUGCAUUUACAAUCUCCGUGAAUUCAAAUUAUUUUCAAAUACAAAACCCUAGAGAGAAGAUGCCAUGACUUCUUCCAUUUAAUUAAAUGAAAAGGGUUUUUGAAAAUAUUUGAAUUCCAUUUGGAAAUAUUUCAACUUCAGAAACUUUAAGCAACUCAAUGAUUUUCACGAGAGAGGAUAAAAUGACUUCUUCAAAACAUAUGAAAUAUGAGUUGGAAGUUUUAAAAAGAAUUAAAUCUAAAGUCCCAUUGGAAUUAUUUUCAAUUUGGGCUUAUUUGGUUUUUAUUCAAAUUAUUUUUCUCCAAAAAUAAAAUAUAAGGAAAUUAGGGUAAAAUGAUUCCCUACGUCACAAAAUUGGUGAGAAAUAAAUUUGAAUUAAUUUUGGUAUUUUUAAAAUGAUUUUUAUUGGGUUUUAAUAUAGCAGUAGCCCUCUUUGCUUUAUUUGAAUUUUUGUAGAUUUUAUUUGGAGCUAGAAUAAUGUUCAUGUCCUAGAAAAUCUUUUUCUGAAAAUUUUGAUAUAUUGUAUGCCUAUAUAAUAUUCUUAUUUAUUUUGUUUUAUUAUUUUUGUUUGUUUGGAAAAAUGUUUAAAAAAAACUAUUCGAGCUAGCUGGGCCGAAGCCCAGCCAACUGGCCCAACCGCGCCGUCUCCCUCCCGGACGGACUCCGCCGCCCACACGCCGGCCGCCGUCGUGCCGCCCCCGGACACCCGCCGCCGCCUUUGCUGCCCCUCGCCCACGCCACCACCUCUCCCGAGACCGCCCCCUCCAUAAAUACCGGAGCCCCGUUCCUCUCCUCGUCCCACUCGACCCCGCGCCACCGACACCACAUCGCCGCCGCAGAUCGCCGCCGCUGCCGCUGCCUCUGCCUCGCAGCCGACGCCGCGCCGCAGUCGCUCCUCUCCCCGCAGCCGUUCUUCUCCCCGCAGCCGUUCUUCUCCCUGCGCCGCUCGCUGCCGUAGCCAGCGCCGCCGCACCGCGCCACUCGCCGGAGAUCGCCGGAAACCGCCGCCAUUGCCGAAACCCGAUCCACCGCCCCGGUCCACCCGACCCGUCGGUUUUCUUCGAACCAUCGCGAACUGGUAAAAGACUGCCCAGGUCCGGUUUAAUUUUUUUAGGUUUUCCUCGGUUUUCUAUUAGUCUGGUUUUAUUUUUUUGAUCGGUUUAGUUAAUUAGGUUAAGUUAUUUAGCGGACGUUCGUCCGUUAGGUUCGGUAGCGAAUGAUUUUCGUUUUUUAGGUUCUGUUAGCGAGCGUUCGCUCGAUAGAUUUUUCUUUUUCUUUUUAUUUUCGGUGAGGGACCUAUUCGUGAUAAAUUUUCUUCACAAAUUAGUCCAUGUACUUCAAACGAUCACUACUUUCUACUCGUUUGUCCAAAUCCAACGAAACCAAUGCCCACUUCUUCGUUAUGAUCCCAUCUAUCCAGUAAAACAACUUAAACAUAUUUUUGAAAGUUUAAAAUUUGAUUUCAAACAGAUUUGAAUUUAAACUUCUUUUGUUCAUAACUCGAGUUUUAUAACUUCGUUUGAGUUGAUUCUUUUUGCAAAUUGAAGCUCUUGACCUAAACUUUCUGAUAAGGCCAAAUCCACAUAAUUUGGCACUGUUAGAAAAAAAUUUAUGUUGCAAGAGUUAUUUGCUUGGUUUUGAUAUUUUCCGAAUUGUCUUCUUCGUUCUUUCCGAUCUUUUGAAUGAUUGCUUAUGUGUGGUUACUAUUACUUGCUCACGAUAGAUUGACCGGAGUGUGACGAGUAGAACUAUUAGGAGUUAUGAGUGCGAAUCAUCUACAUCAACAGUGCAAGGCAAGUUCACACUUUGAUCAUAUCCCUUUAAUACCCAGAUUUUAUGCAUUAGUUUCACCCUCAAACACUGCAUGGUUAGGACUUGAUAACAUGUGGGUAUUGGGAAGUAGUUGAAGAGGUAGGAACCUAUUAUCCUGCAUUCAAAUCUUGGGAGUUACUUCUACGUUAUGCUCAUACUGCUCUGCUAAGCUCGUAGACGUGGAUUGGUUGAGUGAUUCAUGACAGAUUGUGAGAGUUAUUAUUUAAUGGUUAACUUAAGGUGGUUACUUUAAAACACCUCUGGGUGGAAUGGUAGGGGCACCCUGGAGCACCCAGUGGUUUGCCCGGGCACCUGGAGAACCCAGUGCUUGCCCAAGGGGAUCCCGGAGGACCCGUGUGAUCACCCUAUGGAAUGCCACCCAGGCUCAAAGGGAUCAUAAGAUUAUUCAUGCUAGAAACUUCCAUGUGCAACCACAAGCUAUUAUGGGCUCUAGCAUCGUUGAGUAAGUUGCAUGACCUCUUCAAGUGGUAGGCUAGCAGAUGUAGGGGAUGUAGCUUGGUACUGUCUACCCGGGGUUAGAGUUAAUGCUUCUGAAAGACUGUGUCUCGGUCAUCCGUUUCUCAAACACCAUGAAGUGCGAGAAAUCCAACGGAGGAGAUCGAAUCUUGUGGGGAAAAGUGUGCAAACCUCUGCAGAGUGUACAAACUAAUCAUGAUUAGCCGUGUCCCCGGUUAUGGACAUCUUGAGUAUGUGGUUCUUGAAUUAUCAUGUUGAUCUCAUCACGUUACUAAAUUAAUUUGUUGGGAUAUUAACUUUUAAUUGGGAUUGAGUUGGAGGAACCUUCUUAAUGUUUCAACAAACUUUUUAGAUAAAUAAAAUAUAUUCCUUUGCAGUAGGGAAAAAUUGGCUUUUCACAAAAACAUCAUAACCCUAGAGCUUUGUAACAUCCCAAAUUUUCAAUUUGGAAUGUUAUACAUUAGAUCAUCAUGCAUAUCAUAUUUUAUUGUAUUUCGGUUUGCGAUCCUCGAAAUUCUAAGAAACCCAAGGACCCAUGGAGAGAGUUGGGCAUUUCACGAUUUUCAUAUUUGGAUUUUAUCAAAUAUCGAAACGAGGAUCAUUUGUUUUAAUUAUUUUUCUCUCCGAAAAUAUUUCAUAUCAAAAUACCUGAGAGGGGAUAAUAUGACUUCUCCAAAAAUAAUGAAAUAUUGGAGGAAAAAUAUUAAAAACAAAUAUUUGAUUUUAUUCGGAUUUUAUUUCUAUUUUAUUUGCCUAGGAAAAAUAUGCGUUUUUCAAAAUUGCAUUUUAGGCCAAAAUAAAUGUUCAUCUUGUCCGGCUUAUUUUUAGAGGACGGGGAAAAUUUAUUCCGGGAUUUUUGGAGUCAGUUUAGUAUUUCUUUUCUUUCUUUUUCUGCAUGUCUGGAUUGCUUAAAAAAAGUCAAACCGACACGGGCCGUAACCGGCCAGGACUCCGCCCAGCCGGCCCUCUUAAAUAGCACCGCCCCGAGCCCCCCCCCAGCCCAUCGAAGCCCGCCGCCACCUAAACCCUAGCCCGACCCCGCCGCCGCUGCCNNNNNNNNNNNNNNNNNNNNNNNNNNNNNNNNNNNNNNNNNNNNNNNNNNNNNNNNNNNNNNNNNNNNNNNNNNNNNNNNNNNNNNNNNNNNNNNNNNNNNNNNNNNNNNNNNNNNNNNNNNNNNNNNNNNNNNNNNNNNNNNNNNNNNNNNNNNNNNNNNNNNNNNNNNNNNNNNNNNNNNNNNNNNNNNNNNNNNNNNNNNNNNNNNNNNNNNNNNNNNNNNNNNNNNNNNNNNNNNNNNNNNNNNNNNNNNNNNNNNNNNNNNNNNNNNNNNNNNNNNNNNNNNNNNNNNNNNNNNNNNNNNNNNNNNNNNNNNNNNNNNNNNNNNNNNNNNNNNNNNNNNNNNNNNNNNNNNNNNNNNNNNNNNNNNNNNNNNNNNNNNNNNNNNNNNNNNNNNNNNNNNNNNNNNNNNNNNNNNNNNNNNNNNNNNNNNNNNNNNNNNNNNNNNNNNNNNNNCGCCAGCCGCCGCCGCCGGAUACCGCCGCCCCGCGGCCGUCCCGUCGCCGCCGAGCCCAUCCCGCCGCCACCUCGCCGCCGAGUCGGAGAUCUCGCCGGACUCGAGGUAGCCGCCGCCGGUUUUUUCAUAAAACCGUUCGGUUAUUCUUUAAAAAAAUAGAUCCGUUUUUUAGAUCGGUUCGUUUGUUUUCUCGGUUUAGUUAUUUUGUGGUCGUUCGUCCGUACGUUCGUUUUAACGAACGGUUUUCGUCAUUUAACCGCAGACAGCGAACGUUCGUUCGUUAGCCUGUUCGUCAGUUUUUCUUUUUCUCGGAUUUUUCGCGAUUAUUUUCGAUCGCGAUUUUUUAUCCGAUUUUCGUUUUAGUAUAACUUUUCGCUUGUUUAUCGGAAUCAGGCGAUUCAAGCGCCUAGAGUUUCGUCUCGAAACCCUCUUUCUGUUUAACCAACUCAAACAAGUUUUUGCUACUGUAAAAUUUGACUUAAGUCCAGAUUAGUAACAGAGUUUGUUUCUUUUGCCGUUUGAGUUUUGUUGCUUCGUUCGAUUUGAUUCUCUUUGCCAACCGGAGUUCUUAAGUUGAACUUUCUGGUUAGAUCUCUUAUUUGAGUUUUACCCGUGCACCCUUGCUUGAUUGCUUAUGAAUGUCAUUGUUUGUUUGCGAUAGAGUACCCGGAGUGCGCAGCGUGCUACUACGAGUCUCUAGGUUUCCCGGAUCAUCAGCAAGGCAAGUAACACUUUGAUCAUACCUCUUUACCACCCAGUUUUAUUGCAUUAGAUCAACCCUCAAACUAUUGCAUGGUUAGGAACUGUUUAAUAUAUGGGUUUUGGGAAGUAGAUGAGGUAGUACCUAUUACCUGUUUUAUUAUCAAACCCUUGGGAGUUACUUCUACGUUUGCUUAUAUUGCCAUGCUAUGCUCGUAGAGGUGGAUUGGGUUUGAGUGAUUACAUGACAGAUGUGAGAUUGUUAAUUAAUGGUUAACUUAAGGUGGCUACUUAAAUACACAUUUGGGUGUAUUGAGGCACCUGGGGAACCCAGUGUUGCCUGUUUUUUUUUUAAAUCCCGGGGUACCGUGUGAUUCUCCUAUGGACCGCCACCCAGGCUCAAAGGGAUCAUGAGAUUAUUCAUGCUAGAAACUUCCGUGUGCAGCCACAAGCUAUUAUGGGCUCUAGCAUAGUUGAUUAAGUCGUGUGAACUCUUACAGUGGUAGACUAGCAGAUGUAGGGGAAAGUAGGUGUAACUGUCUACCCAUUGUAAGGUGCAAACGCUUCUAAAAGACUGUGUCUCGGUCAUCCGUUUCUCAAACUUCAUGAAGUGCGAGAAAUCCAACGGAGGAGAUCGAGUCUUGUGGGGAAAAGUGCGCAAACCUCUGCAGAGUGUACAAUCUAAUCAUGGUUAGCCGCGUCCCCGGUUAUGGACAUCUUGAGUAUCUAGUUCUUGGAUUAUCAGGUGAAUCUCAUCAUCAUGUUACUUCAUUAAAUUUGUUGGGUUUAAUGAAAUUUACUUAAUUGGGAUUGAGUUGGGUGAACCUUCUCAAUGUUUAAUAACCAUCAUAAUAGUUAAAUAAAAUUUAUUCCUUUGUUGUAGGGAAAAAUUAGCUUUUCGCAAAAUUGUAACCAUAGAGCUUUCCACCAGCCAAAUAUGCAUGUAGUGUUAGCAUUAUUCUGCUCAUUACUCUCUAUGUGUUACUUUGCGAGCAUAUUCCAUGUGCUGACCCGUUUUCGGGCUGCAACGUUCAUGUUGCAGACUUUUCAGACGACGAGUAAGGUGCCAUAGGUCGUGGUCUUAUACUCAGUGAUGCCGUUGGAGUUGAUGGACUCACUUUAUCUUCCAAGCCUUCCGCUGUUAUCGUAUUAGAUGGCCUUAAGCCAUGUUUUUUGUAAUAAGUUCUCUCUUGAGACUAUUCGGUGUAAUAAGUGUGUGAUUGCUACUCUGUUAUAAAUCCUUCAAGUACUCUGCGUGUCAGCAUUACCGAUCCAGGGAUGACACUGAUGCACAGAGACUAGACUGUUUGAGGUCUGGUCGCUACAAAGAUGGUAUCAGAGCACACGCUGACUGUAGGACACGACCACUAAGCUAAAGCCCUAGAUCACUACUCUCUUCUCAUUUCUGACUCCUCUCCUUUGUUCCACUCUUUUAGGAUGGCGGAUGCAAGGAAUAAGUUCGCGCAACCGGAUGAGGAUACACCUUUUGGACGACACUUGAAGGAAGUUACUAGGUACCUGAACAUUGAAAUACCAAGCUUCACCGGGACCUACAACGCCACUUUACCAGAAGAGGAGCGCUGGAUGAUUCAAGUUCAAGUUCCAGGAAGGACGUUCACGCCAGUCACUGAGCCCAUAGAGUUUUCUUUCGAUGCACCAACCUGGAGUCUAGGAAAGAGUAUGGCAGCUCACAUUACCAUGGGACACAUUGGAGAAGUUUACCACAAUGAUCUCAAGGAUAGUAUCUAUCAGAUUUGUGGGCGCCGAGACGAGCAAUGGGAGAUGAUCAGCACCAGGAAGGAUAGAUCUAUUGCAGCUUUCAUUCAGGAGUUAAACCAGCACAUUCGUCGCUAGGAGAACCAGAUGUGUGCAGGCAUGAUGGAUUUGAAGAAGGCAAUGACAAGGAUCACGGAGCUGGAGGAAGAACUCAAGGCUACACGCGAAGAUUAUAUGGAGGAAAUCAUCGCACUAGUAGAGAAGAAUGGCGACCUGACAAAGAAGCUAGGAGUUUUCAUGGGAGACCCUGCGCCAGGAGGAGAAGACGAUGGUUCUACUUGUCAGAAGAACUACAUCAUCAUCGACGACACCGACUCGGACCCCAGUGAUGAUGGUUUGGAGGAUGAAGCCGGAGCAGAUAUCAUGGAGUCUUCUACCGAUCAAUUUUUCUAGUCGACCACCAUAUCAGUAGUAGUAUUCCACCAUGUAUAUAGUAUAGUCCAAGCACUUUGUAACGAUAGUUAGAUCGAUUGUAUGCCUUGUUUGAAUUGAUUAGAGUGAUAUGAUUGUGUUUGUCUCAUGUGCAUAUGGGUAGUGUUUUCCCUCUUGAUCUCAUUCUAUCCUAUUUUCUCAUCUUUUCUAAACCCAUCAGAUGCCUUCGAGACGCGACACCGGAUUUGUUUCCCCACCGGAGAUCACUCAGUUGAUUCAGCAGCAGAAUGCCCUGAUGCAAGUGCUAGUUCAGAACCAGGGGAUUUGUGGAUAAGUUCGUCGUAGUGUUCAUUGAUGAUAUUCUGGUCUAUUCGAAGAAUGAAGAAGAGCAUAAGGAGCAUUUGUGUUUGGUACUUAGAAAGCUAAAAGAACAUCAGUUAUAUGCCAAGUUCAGCAAGUGCGAGUUUUGGUUAAAGGAAGUUGGAUUCCUUGGACAUGUUAUAUCCGGGGAAGGAAUAGCAGUAGAUCCCACCAAGGUUAACACAGUGACAAAUUGGGAGUCACCCACGUCAGUUGGAGAGAUCCGGAGUUUUCUUGGACUCGCAGGAUACUACCGGAGAUUCAUUGAGAAUUUCUCAAAGAUUGCAAAGCCUAUGACGGAAUUGUUGAAGAAGGACACCAAGUUCAAUUGGACUGAGGAAUGUGAGUCCAGUUUUUGGGAGUUGAAGAAACGUUUAGUUACAGCGCCAGUGUUGAUUCUGCCAGAUCAACGCAAGGAUUAUGAAGUAUAUUGCAAUGCUUCACGUCGAGGACUUGGAGCCGUACUUAUGCAGGAGGGAAGAGUUGUUUCAUAUGCCUCACGACAGCUUAAACCCCAUGAGUUGAAUUAUGCUACACAUGAUUUGGAGUUAGCAGCCGUAGUGCAUGCGUUGAAGACAUGGAGACAUUUUCUCAUCGGAAACCAGUGUGAGGUGUACACGGAUCACAAGAGUUUGAAGUACAUUUUCACGCAGAAGGAGUUGAAUCUCAGAAAAAGGAGAUGGUUGGAGCUCAUUAAGGAUUAUGAUAUGAGAUUGCAUUAUCACCCAGGAACGGCUAACGUAGUAGCUGAUGCGUUGAGCCGCAAGAGUCAUGUAAAUACCCUCAUGACCGGAGAGUUACCCAAGGAGUUAGCAGAAGACCUUUGCGAGCUGCGUUUGGAGAUAGUUCCAAGAGGUUAUGUAGCGGCCUUGGAAAUUCAGUCUACCUUGAUGGAUAAGAUCAGAGAAGCUCAGAAGACGGACAAGGAGAUUGCCGAGAUAAAGGAAAGGAUGAGUAAAGGAAAAGCCAAGGGUUAUCGUGAGGAUGAGCACGCUACCUUAUGGUUUGAGGACCGCGUAUAUGUGCCCAAUGGUCAGGAGAUCAGGAAGUUGAUUCACCAUAUUCGAUUCACCCAGGAAAUACCAAGAUGUAUCUGGAUUUGAAGGACAGUUUCUGGUGGACCGGAAUGAAGAAGGAUAUUGCGGAGUAUGUAGCAGUUUGUGAUGUAUGUCAGAGAGUGAAGGGAGAGCAUCAGAAACCAGCAGGAUUGCUACAACCAUUGCCGAUACCCGAAUGGAAGUGGGAUAAGCUAGGCAUGGCUUUCAUCACGGGAUUGCCCAGGACUCGUUCAGGCUAUGACUCGAUAUGGGUUGUAGUCGAUCGUUUGACGACGGUAGCUCAUUUCAUCCCAGUAAAGACCACUUAUACCAGUGCUAAGUUGGCAAAGGUAUACAUGACCAGGAUCGUAUGUCUGCAUGGAGUUCCGAGGACCAUUGUAUCAGAUAGAGGAAGCCAGUUUACCUCAAAGUUCUGGCAUCAGUUGCAUGAGACUUUGGGUACCAGACUAGAGUUCAGUACAGCUUUUCACCUGCAAACAGAUGGACAGACGGAAAGAGUCAAUAAGAUUUUGGUAGACAUGCUGAGAGCUUGUGCGCUAGAUUAUGGAUCCAGUUGGGAUGAUAAUUUACCUUAUGCAAGGUUCUCUUACAACAACAGUUAUCAAUCCAGUUUGAAGAUGGCCCCUUUCGAAGCUCUGUACGGAAGGAGGUGUAGGACACUGUUGUUGUGGGAUGAAGUGGGAGACCGCCAGUUGUUUGGACCAGAUUUGAUUAAAGAGUCUGAACAGAAGGUGAAGUUGAUCCGCGAUAGGCUCAUGGUAGCCCAGUCCAGGCAGAAGAGUUAUGCGGAUUCUAAAUGCAAGGAGGCAGUUUACAAAGUCGGAGACAGAGUUUAUCUUCGUGUGUCCCCACUUCGAGGAAUUAAGCGUUUUGGAGUUAAGGGAAAGUUAGCACCACGUUUUGUAGGACCAUACAAAGUUUUGGAGCGUAUGGGAGAAGUUGCUUACAAGUUGGAAUUGCCUGAAGGAUUGUCAGGAGUUCACGAUGUGUUCCAUGUUUCUCAGUUAAAGAAGUGCCACGCGGAGAUGGCUGAUAUACCUUUGAGAGAUACAGUGCCACUGGAAGCGAUACAGUUGGAUAGCGAUUUGACCUAUGAGGAGAAACCAGUCAAGAUUCUCGAGUUUGCCAGCCGAGUCACCCGUAGCAGGGUUAUCAAGUUUUGCAAAGUUCAGUGGAGCCACCAUACUGAAGAUGAAGCCACUUGGGAGCGAGAGGAAGACCUACGGAAGGAUCACCCUCACCUAUUUUCUAGCCAACCGGAAUCUCGAGGGCGAGAUUCAUCUUGGGGGUAGGUUUGUAACAUCCCAAAUUUUCAAUUUGGAAUGUUAUACAUUAGAUCAUCAUGCAUAUCAUAUUUUAUUGCAUCUCGGUUUGCGAUCCUCAAAAUUUUAAGCAACUCAAGGACCCACGGAGAGUGUUAUGGGUUUCACGAUUUUCAUAUUUGGAUUUUAUCAAAUAUUGAAACGAGGAUCAUUUGUUUUAAUUAUUUUUCUCUCUGAAAAUAUUUCAUAUCAAAAUACAUGAGAGGGGAUAAUAUGACUUCUCCAAAAAUAAUGAAAUAUUGGAGGAAAAAUAUUAAGACAAAUAUUUGAUUUUAUUCGGAUUUUAUUUCUAUUUUAUUUGCCUAGGAAAAAUAUGCGUUUUUCAAAAUUGCAUUUUCGGCCCAAAUAAAUGUUCAUCUUGUCCGGCUUAUUUUUAGAGGAUGGGGAAAUUUUAUUUCGGGAUUUUUGGAGUCAGUUUAGUAUUUCUUUUCUUUCUUUUUCUGCACGUCCGAAUUGUUUAAAAAAAAGUCAAACCGACUCGGGCCGUAACCGGCCAGGACUCCGCCCAGCCGGCCCUCUUAAAUAGCGUCGCCCCGAGCCCCCCAGCCCACCGAAGCCCGCCGCCACCUAAACCCUAACCCUAGCCCGACGCCGCCGCCGACGCUGCCCAUUCCGCCGCCGCCGACGCCGCCCAUUCCGCCGCNNNNNNNNNNNNNNNNNNNNNNNNNNNNNNNNNNNNNNNNNNNNNNNNNNNNNNNNNNNNNNNNNNNNNNNNNNNNNNNNNNNNNNNNNNNNNNNNNNNNNNNNNNNNNNNNNNNNNNNNNNNNNNNNNNNNNNNNNNNNNNNNNNNNNNNNNNNNNNNNNNNNNNNNNNNNNNNNNNNNNNNNNNNNNNNNNNNNNNNNNNNNNNNNNNNNNNNNNNNNNNNNNNNNNNNNNNNNNNNNNNNNNNNNNNNNNNNNNNNNNNNNNNNNNNNNNNNNNNNNNNNNNNNNNNNNNNNNNNNNNNNNNNNNNNNNNNNNNNNNNNNNNNNNNNNNNNNNNNNNNNNNNNNNNNNNNNNNNNNNNNNNNNNNNNNNNNNNNNNNNNNNNNNNNNNNNNNNNNNNNNNNNNNNNNNNNNNNNNNNNNNNNNNNNNNNNNNNNNNNNNNNNNNNNNNNNNNNNNNNNNNNNNNNNNNNNNNNNNNNNNNNNNNNNNNNNNNNNNNNNNNNCGCCGCCGACCCGCCGCCCCGCCUCCGUCCCGUCGCCGCCGAGCCCACCCCGCCGCCACCUCCCCACCUCGCCGGAGAUCUCGCCGGACUCGAGGUAGCCGCCGCCGGUUUUUUCAUAAAACCGUUCGGUUAUUCUUUUUAAAAAAACUAGAACCAUUUUUUUAGCGGUUCGUCGGUUUUCUCGGUUUAGUUAUUUUGCGGUCGUUCGUUCGUACAUUCAUUUUAACGAACGGUUUUUGUAGUUUAACCGCAGACAGUGAAUGUUCGUUGGUUAGCCUGUUCGUCAGUUUUUCUUUUUCUCGGAUUUUUCGCGAUUAUUUUCGAUCGUGAUUUCUGAUCCGAUUUUUGUUUUAGUAUAACUUUUCGCUCGUUUAUCGGAAUCAUGCGAUUCAAGCGCCUAGAGUUUCGUCUCGAAACCCUCUUUCUGUUUAACCAACUCAAGCAAGUUUUUGGUACUGUAAAAGUUGACUUAAAUCCAGAUUAGUAAUGGAGUUUGUUUCUUUCGCCGUUUGAGUCUUGUUACUUCGUUCGAUUUGAUUCUCUUUGCCAACCGGAGUUCUUAAGUUGAACUUUCUGGUUAGAUCUCUUAUUUGAGUUUUACCCGUGCACCCUUGCUUGAUUGCUUAUGAAUGUCAUUGUUUGUUUACGAUAGAGUACCCGGAGUGCGCAGCGUGCUACUACGAGUCUCUAGGUUUCCCGGAUCAUCAGCAAGGCAAGUAACACUUUGAUCAUACCUCUUUACCACCCAGUUUUAUUGCAUUAGAUCAACCCUCAAACUAUUGCAUGGUUAGGAACUGUUUAAUAUAUGGGUUUUGGGAAGUAGAUGAGGUAGUACCUAUUACCUGUUUUAUUAUCAAACCCUUGGGAGUUACUUCUACGUUUGCUUAUAUUGCCAUGCUAUGCUCGUAGAAGUGGAUUGGGUUUGAGUGAUUACAUGACAGAUGUGAGAUUGUUAAUUAAUGGUUAACUUAAGGUGGCUACUAAAUACACAUCUGGGUGGAUUGAGGCACCUGGGGAACCCAGUGUUGCCUGUUUUUUUUUUUGAAAUCCCGGGGUACCGUGUGAUUCUCCUAUGGACCGCCACCCAGGCUCAAAGGGAUCAUGAGAUUAUUCAUGCUAGAAACUUCCGUGUGCAGCCACAAGCUAUUAUGGGAUCUAGCAUAGUUGAUUAAGUCGUGUGAACUCUUACAGUGGUAGACUAGCAGAUGUUGGGGGAAGUAGGUGUAACUGUCUACCCAUCGUAAGGUGCUAACGCUUCUGAAAGACUGUGUCUCGGUCAUCCAUUUCUCAAACAUCAUGAAGUGCGAGAAAUACAACGGAGGAGAUCGAGUCUUGUGGGGAAAAGUGCGCAAACCUCUGCAGAGUGUACAAUCUAAUCAUGGUUAGCCGUGUCCCCGGUUAUGGAGAUCUUGAGUAUCUAGUUCUUGGAUUGUCAUGUGAAUCUCAUAAUCAUGUUACUUAAUUAAAUUUGUUAGGUUUAAUGAAAUUUACUUAAUUGGAAUUGAGUUGGGUGAACCUUCUCAAUGUUUAACAACCACCAUAAUAGUUAAAUAAAAUUUAUUCCUUUGUUGUAGGGAAAAUUGGCUUUUCGCAAAAUUGUAACCAUAGAGCUUUCCACCAGCCAAAUAUGCAUGUAGUGUUAGCAUUAUUCUGCUCGUUACUCUCUAUGUGUUACUUUGCCAGCAUAUUCCAUUUGCUGACCCGUUUUCGGGCUGCAACGUUCAUGUUGUAGACUUUUCAGACGACGAGUAAGGUGACAUAGGUCGUGGUCUUAUACUCAGUGAUGCCGUUGGAGUUGAUGGACUCACUUUAUCUUCCAAGACUUCCGUUGUUAUCGUAUUAGAUGGCCUUAAGCCAUGUUUUUUGUAAUAAGUUCUCUCUUGAGACUAUUCGGUGUAAUAAGUGUGUGAUUGCCACUCUGUUACAAAUCCUUCAAGUACUCUGCGUGUCAGCAUUACCGAUCCAGGGAUGACACUGAUGCACAGAGACUAGACUGUUUGAGGUCUCGUCGCUACAAAGAUGGUAUCAGAGCACACCCUGACUGUAGGACACGACCACUAAGCUAAAGCCCUAGAUCACUACUCUCUUCUCAUUUCUGACUCCUCUCCUUUCUUCCACUCUUUUAGGAUGGCGGAUGCAAGGAAUAAGUUCGCGCAACCGGAUGAGGAUACACCUUUUGGACGACACUUGAAGGAAGUUACUAGGUACCUAAACAUCGGAAUACCAAGCUUCACCAGGACCUACAACGCCACUUUACCAGAAGAGGAGCGCUGGAUGAUUCAAGUUCAAGUUCCAGGAAGGACGUUCACGCCAGUCACUGGGCCCAUAGAGUUUUCUUUCGAUGCACCAACCUGGAGUCUAGGAAAGAGUAUGGCAGCUCACAUUACCAUGGGACACAUUGGAGAAGUUUACCACAAUGAUCUCAAGGAUAGUAUCUAUCAGAUUUGUGGGCGCCGAGACGAGCAAUGGGAGAUGAUCAGCACCAGGAAGGAUAGAUCUAUUGCAGCUUUCAUUCAGGAGUUAAACCAGCACAUUCGUCGCCAGGAGAACCAGAUGUGCGCAGGCAUGAUGGAUUUGAAGAAGGCAAUGACAAGGAUCACGGAGCUGGAGGAAGAACUCAAGGCUACACGCGAAGAUUAUAUGGAGGAAAUCAUCGCACUAGUAGAGAAGAAUGGCGACCUGAAAAAGAAGCUAGGAGUUUUCAUGGGAGACCCUGCGCCAGGAGGAGAAGACGAUGAUUCUACUUGUCCGGAGAACUACAUCAUCAUCGACGACACCGAGUCGGACCCCAGUGAUGAUGAUUUGGAGGAUGAAGCCGGAGCAGAUAUCAUGGAGUCUUCGACCGAUCAAUUUUUCUAGUCGACUACCAUAUCAAUAGUAGUAUUCCACCAUGUAUAUAGUAUAGUCCAAGCACUUUGUAAUGAUAGUUAGAUCGAUUGUAUGCCUUGUUUGAAUUGAUUGGAGUGAUAUGAUUGUGUUUGUCUCAUGUGCAUAUGGGUAGUGUUUUCCCUCUAGAUCUCAUUAUAUCCUAUUUUCUCAUCUUUUCUAAACCCAUCAGAUGCCUCCGAGACGCGACACCGGAUUUCCCACCAGAGAUCACUCAGUUGAUUCAGCAGCAGAAUGCCCUGAUGCAAGUGCUAGUUCAGAACCAGGGGAUUUGUGGAUAAGUUUGUCUUAGUGUUCAUUGAUGAUAUUCUAGUCUAUUCGAAGAAUGAAGAAGAGCAUAAGGAGCAUUUGCGUUUGGUACUUGGAAAGCUAAAAGAACAUCAGUUAUAUGACAAGUUCAGCAAGUGCGAGUUUUGGUUAAAGGAAGUUGGAUUCCUUGGACAUGUUAUAUCCGGGGAAGGAAUAGCAGUAGAUCCCACAAAGGUUAACACAGUGACAAAUUGGGAGUCACCCAUGUCAGUUGGAGAGAUCCGGAGUUUUCUUGGACUCGCAGGAUACUACCGGAGAUUCAUUGAGAAUUUCUCAAAGAUUGCAAAGCCUAUGACGAAAUUGUUGAAGAAGGACACCAAGUUCAAUUGGACUGAGGAAUGUGAGGCCAGUUUUCAGGAGUUGAAGAAACGUUUAGUUACAGCGCCAGUGUUGAUUCUGCCAGAUCAACGCAAGGAUUAUGAAGUAUAUUGCAACGCUUCACGUCGAGGACUUGGAGCCGUACUUAUGCAGGAGGGAAGAGUUGUUUCAUAUGCCUCACGACAGCUUAAACCCCAUGAGUUGAAUUAUGCUACACAUGAUUUGGAGUUAGCAGCCGUAGUGCAUGCGUUGAAGACAUGGAGACAUUUUCUCAUCGGAAACCAGUGUGAGGUGUACACGGAUCACAAGAGUUUGAAGUACAUUUUCACGCAGAAGGAGUUGAAUCUCAGGCAAAGGAGAUGGUUGGAGCUCAUUAAGGAUUAUGAUAUGAGAUUGCAUUAUCACCCAGAAAGGCUAACGUAGUAGCUGAUGCGUUGAGCCGCAAGAGUCAUGUAAAUACCCACAUGACCGGAGAGUUACCCAAGGAAUUAGCAGAAGACCUUUGCGAGCUGCGUUUGGAGAUAGUUCCAAGAGGUUAUGUAGCAGCCUUGGAAAUUCAGUCUACCUUGAUGGAUAAGAUCAGAGAAGCUCAGAACACGGACAAGGAGAUUGCCGAGAUAAAGGAAAGGAUGAGUAAAGGAAAAGCCAAGGGUUAUCGUGAGGAUGAGCACGAUACCUUAUGGUUUGAGGACCGCGUAUAUGUGCCCAAUGAUCAGGAGAUCAGGAAGUUGAUUCUGCAAGAGGCCCAUGAUUCACCAUAUUCGAUUCACCCAGGAAAUACCAAGAUGUAUCUGGAUUUAAAGGACAGUUUCUGGUGGACCAGAAUGAAGAAGGAUAUUGCGGAGUAUGUAGCAGUUUGUGAUGUAUCUCAGAGAGUGAAGGCGGAGCAUCAGAAACCAGCAGGAUUGCUACAACCAUUGCUGAUACCCGAAUGGAAGUGGGAUAAGCUAGGCAUGGAUUUCAUCACGGGAUUGCCCAGGACUCGUUCAGGCUAUGACUCGAUAUGGGUUGUAGUCGAUCGUUUGACGAAGGUAGCUCAUUUCAUCCCAGUAAAGACCACUUAUAUCAGUGCUAAGUUGGCAAAGGUAUACAUGACCAGGAUCGUAUGUCUGCAUGGAGUUCCGAGGACCAUUGUAUCAGAUAGAGGAACCCAGUUUACCUCAAAGUUCUGGCAUCAGUUGCACGAGACUUUGGGUACCACUAGAGUUCAGUACAGCUUUUCACCCGCAAACAGAUGGACAUACGGAAAGAGUGAAUCAGAUUUUGGAAGACAUGCUGAGAGCUUGUGCGCUAGAUUAUGGAUCCAGUUGGGAUGAUAAUUUACCUUAUGCAGAGUUCUCUUACAACAACAGUUAUCAAUCCAGUUUGAAGAUGGCCCCUUUCGAAGCUCUGUACGGAAGGAGGUGUAGGACACCGUUGUUGUGGGAUGAAGUGGGAGACCGCCAGUUGUUUGGACCAGAUUUGAUUAAAGAGUCUGAACAGAAGGUGAAGUUGAUUCGCGAUAGGCUCAUGGUAGCCCAGUCCAGGCAGAAGAGUUAUGCGGAUUCUAAACGCAAGGAGGCAGUUUAUGAAGUCGGAGACAGAGUUUAUCUUCGUGUGUCCCCACUUCGAGGAGUUAAGCGUUUUGGAGUUAAGGGAAAGUUAGCACCACGUUUUGUAGGACCAUACAAAGUUUUGGAGUGUAUGGGAGAAGUUGCUUACAAGUUGGAAUUGCCCGAAGGAUUGUCAGGAGUUCACGAUGUGUUCCAUGUUUCUUAGUUAAAGAAGUGCCACGCGGAGAUGGCUGAUAUACCUUUGAGAGAUACAGUGCCACUGGAAGCGAUACAGUUGGAUAGCGAUUUGACCUACGAGGAGAAACCAGUCAAGAUUCUCGAGUUUUCCAGCCGAGUCACCCGUAGCAGGGUUAUCAAGUUUUGCAGAGUUCAGUGGAGCCACCAUACUGAAGAUGAAGCCACUUGGGAGCGAGAGGAAGACCUACGGAAGGAUCACCCUCACCUAUUUUCUAGCCAACCCGAAUCUCGAGGGCGAGAUUCAUCUUAAGGGGGGUAGGUUUGUAACAUCCCAAAUUUUCAAUUUGGAAUGUUAUACAUUAGAUCAUCAUGCAUAUCAUAUUUUAUUGCAUUUCGGUUUGCGAUCCUCGAAAUUCUAAGCAACUCAAGGACCCACGGAGAGUGUUGGGGAUUUCACGAUUUUCAUAUUUGGAUUUUAUCAAAUAUCAAAACGAGGAUCAUUUGUUUUAAUUAUUUUUCUCUCCGAAAAUAUUUCAUAUCAAAAUACAUGAGAGGGGAUAAUAUGACUUCUCCAAAAAUAAUGAAAUAUUGGAGGAAAAAUAUUAAAAACAAAUAUUUGAUUUUAUUCGGAUUUUAUUUCUAUUUUAUUUGCCUAGGAAAAAUAUGUGUUUUUCAAAAUUGCAUUUUAGGCCUAAAUAAAUGUUCAUCUUGUCCGGCUUAUUUUUAGAGGACGGGGAAAAUUUAUUUCGGGAUUUUUGGAGCCCAUUUAGUAUUUCUUUUUUUUCUUUUUUUGCAUGUCCGAAUUGUUUAAAAAAAAGUCAACCGACUCGGGCCGUAACCGGCCAGGACUCCGCCCAGCCGGCCCUCUUAAAUGGCGCCGCCCCGAGCCCCCCCAGCCCACCGAAGCCCGCCGCCACCUAAACCCUAACCCUAGCCCGACCCUGCCGACGCCGCCCAUUCCGCUGCAGCCGACCCGCCGCCCCGGCGCCGUCCAGUCGCUGCCGAGCCCAUCCCGCCGCCACCUCGCCGCCUCGCCGGAGAUCUUGCCGGACUCGAGGUAGCCGCCGCCGGUUUUUCAUAAAACCGUUCGGUUAUUCUUUUAAAAAAACCUAGAUCCUUUUUUAGAUCGGUUCGUUGGUUUUCUCGGUUUAGUUAUUUUGCGGUCGUUCGUCCGUACGUUUGUUUAACAAACGAUUUUCGUCAUUUAACCGCAAACAACGAACGUUCGUUCGUUAACCUGUUCGUUAGUUUUUCUUUUUCUCGGAUUUUUCGCGAUUAUUUUUGAUCGUGAUUUCUGAUCUGAUUUUCGUUUUAGUAUAACUUUUCGCUCGUUUAUCAGAAUCAGGCGAUUCAAGCGCCUAGAGUUUCAUCUCGAAACCCUCUUUCUGUUUAACCAACUCAAACAAGUUUUUGCUACUGUAAAAUUUGACUUAAGUCCAGAUUAGUAACAGAGUUUGUUUCUUUCGCCGUUUGAGUUUUGUUGCUUCGUUCGAUUUGAUUCUCUUUGCCAACCGGAGUUCUUAAGUUGAACUUUCUGGUUAGAUCUCUUAUUUGAGUUUUACCCAUGCACCCUUGCUUGAUUGCUUAUGAAUGUCAUUGUUUGUUUGCGAUAGAGUAUCCGGAGUGCGCAGCGUGCUACUACGAGUCUCUAGGUUUCCCGGAUCAUCAGCAAGGCAAGUAACACUUUGAUCAUACCUCUUUACCAACCAGUUUAUUGCACUAGAUCAACCCUCAAACUAUUGCAUGGUUAGGAACUGUUUAAUAUAUGGGUUUUGGGAAGUAGAUGAGGUAGUACCUAUUACCUGUUUUAUUAUCAAACCCUUGGGAGUUACUUCUACGUUUCCUUAUAUUGCCAUGCUAUGCUCGUAGACGUGGAUUGGGUUUGAGUGAUUACAUGACAGAUGUGAGAUUGUUAAUUAAUGGUUAACUUAAGGUGGCUACUUAAAUACACAUCUGGGUGGAUUGAGGCACCUGGGGAACCUAGUGUUGCCUGUUUUUUUGGAAAUCCCGGGGUACCGUGUGAUUCUCCUAUGGACCGUCACCCAGGCUCAAAGGGAUCAUGAGAUUAUUCAUGCUAGAAACUUCCGUGUGCAGCCACAAGCUAUUAUGGGCUCUAGCAUAGUUGAUUAAGUCGUGUGAACUCUUACAGUGGUAGACUAGCAGAUGUAGGGGAAAGUAGGUGUAACUGUCUACCCAUUGUAAGGUGCUAACGCUUCUGAAAUACUGUGUCUCGGUCAUCCGUUUCUCAAACAUCAUGAAGUGCGAGAAAUCCAACGGAGGAGAUCGAGUCUUGUGGGGAAAAGUGUGCAAACCUCUGCAGAGUGUACAAUCUAAUCAUGGUUAGCCGUGUCCCCGGUUAUGGACAUCUUGAGUAUCUAGUUCUUGGAUUAUCAUGUGAAUCUCAUCAUCAUGUUACUUAAUUAAAUUUGUUGGGUUUAAUGAAAUUUACUUAAUUGGGAUUGAGUUGGGGGAACCUUCUCAAUGUUUAACAACCACCAUAAUAGUUAAAUAAAAUUUAUUCCUUUGUUGUAGGGAAAAAUUGGCUUUUCACAAAAUUGUAACCAUAGAGCUUUCCACCAGCCAAAUAUGCAUGUAGUGUUAGCAUUAUUCUGCUCAUUACUCUCUAUGUGUUACUUUGCAAGCAUGUUCCAUGUGCUGGCCCAUUUUCGGGCUGCAACAUUCAUGUUGCAGACUUUUCAGACGACGAGUAAGGUGCCAUAGGUCGUGGUCUUAUACUCAGUGAUGCCGUUGGAGUUGAUGGACUCACUUUAUCUUCCAAGCCUUCCGCUGUUAUCGUAUUAGAUGGCCUUAAGCCAUGUUUUUUGUAAUAAGUUCUCUCUUGAGACUAUUCGGUGUAAUAAGUGUGUGAUUGCUACUCUGUUAUAAAUCCUUCAAGUACUGUGCGUGUCAGCAUUACCGAUCCAGGGAUGACACUGAUGCACAGAGACUAGACUGUUUGAGGUCUGGUCGCUACAAGCUUUCCACCAGCCAAAUAUGCAUGUAGUGAUAGUUAUUAUUCAUCAUUAUCCUAUGGUGUGAAUUUGCCAGUACAUUCAAUGUACUGACCCUUUGUGGCUGCAACGUCUCAUGUUGCAGGAAUCUUGCGACGAGUAAGUGAUAUGUUAGGGUUAUGAUUUCUACACUCAACUUUGUCGUUGGUGUUGAUGGGAAUCCACAACCUUGUUGUUACUUCUGCUAUUUGGACUGAGGUAAUAGUAUUUACGUUACUCUAUACAUGUGAUUUACCUCUGUUAUAAAUCCUCGAGUACUGUGUGUGUCAGCAUACCGAUCCAGGGAUGACACUUAAGCACAGAGACUUGACCGUCUGAGGUCGGCUCGCUACAUACACAACACAACAAUGACGAAGUGAAAGGGUUGAGGAAAUAGAACUAGUAGGCUUGGUGAAGACAGUGAUUUGGUAGACCAGUUCCAACUGCUAUGACAGUUGUACGUCUGGUUGGAGCGGCUAGGUAUUUAAACCCGAGGACACACAGUCCUCACCGUAUUCUCCUUGAGCUAAGAUCACACAGACCUCGCCCAAUCACUCGUGGUAAGUCUUCAGGUGACUUCCAAACCUUCACAAACUCGGUCACUCGGUGAUCCACAAUUUCCUCUUGGAUGCUCUAGACCAUGACGCCUAACCGUCUGGAAGAUGCACAGUCUUCAAAGGUACCAAGCGUCGGAUCCACACAGGAACAAUCUCUUCAGUGAUGCUGAAUCACUUUGGAUUUGUAGGUGUUUGGGUUUGGGUUUUCCUCACUUGAUGAUUUUCGCUCAAAGUCCUCGGAGGAUGGGAUGCUCUCAAUGACAAGUAUCAAUUUCUCUCGGAGCAGCCAACCAACUAGUGUUUGUAGGGGGUGGCUAUUUAUAGCCUAGGGAGCAACCCGACAUGAUAAGACAUAAAUGCCCUUCAAUGAUAUGACCGUUAGGUGGGUAGAUAUUUUGGGACAGCUGGCGCAUAGCACAGCAACGGUCGGAUAUUUGAUCUAUCAAAUUCCUCGGGGCUAUCAUGUUCCUCACUUGUAGGCAAUCCGCACUGGCGAAUUCCUAACUCCUCAGUCAGAACAAAUUCCUCAGAGACCAGAAGAACUUCGUCUCUGUCAGUGAAGAAAUUGACUGAACUGUAUGAGAUUUCCAAUGGCUUCACUCGAAGGGAUUGGUAGUAGUACGAUUUUGAGAUGAGCAUCACUUGGAAACUUUUCCUUAGUUUUACCUCGGCCCCCUUUAACAGUACAGUGUUUCCUAUGACCCGGGAAAUAGAAAACGAAACUCCGAAAACAAAAGUCUUCACGCUUCAUGUUCCUCGCACGGAUAUCAAGUCUUCAAGGUCACACCAAUUUCUUCACUUUCAAAGUCUUCAGAAAGCCAAAGUCUUCAAUUGAAGACAUUCAUUUUUAGGGGUCGACUUUCACUGUAAAUAUCAAACUCCUCAUAGACUUAUAGACCUAUGUACACUCACAAACACAUUAGUCCCUUAACCUAUAAGUCUUCAAUACACCAAAAUCACUAAGGGGCACUAGAUGCACUUACACUUUCAAAAGCACAACACCCUUUAUACAUAAAUAUGGUUUACAAAUGGCACGAUCUCACAUUCAUAAGGCUGAAUCCAUCUCAAUUUGAAUUUUCAAAUAUUUGAAACCGGUUUAUGUUGAAAUCCAAUGUAUGCAUUCCUCGCUAACUGUCUCCAAUUAAUGUGUGUUUCAUGUGGGUUUUUUUACUUCUCAAACACGUAUAAUGUGUUUGACACACGCAACAUGUUGUGUAAUCCCAUUUAGACAUUAAUUGCAUAGAAACCAUGUAUUGUCGCUAAUUAAAAAAUCUAUGGAUCACUAAAAUCGAUAAACUAAAUAACAUUACACGUGUCCCGAUAUUCAAAUGAAUAUGCAUGUUUGAUAGACCAAUUUUCAUUAUGAUAUUAUCGAUGUCCCGAUCUCUAGUUUAAAUAUCUGAAUCCCCUUUAAUCCAGAUAUUUAUCUCAUAUAGCUAUCACUCAUGCCUUAUAUAUUUCUCUAGACCUAUACGCCUUCCCCAUCUCUCGGGUAUCUCUCCUGCUACUUGUAUGUCGAUACCAGUCUUUUAUCUCCGUAACACACUGACGGUACUCUCUCCCUCAACCUUCACUCUAUCUCUCUCUAAGACUCUAAGUAUAUCACGCUCCCUGCUAUGUAUGUCUCUAACUAUGAUUCUCCCUGUGAAAUUUCUUUCUCUCAGACAAACACAAACUUCGUCUCCCUGGGUCUCAUUUCUCUCUACUAUUCCCUUGUAUGCCGCUCACACACACCGUCUCAGUCAGAGAUGUCUCGUGCUCCCUAUGUCUCAAUAGCUACGACUCUUUGAUGAACCACAAGCAAGGGGGUCUAUCAUAGUCCUUUCGAUAAGUAAGAGUGCCGAACCCAACGAGGAGCAGAAGGAAACGACAAGCAGUUUUUAGCAAGGUAUUCUCUGCAAGCACUGAAAUUAUCGGUAACAGAUAGUUGUGUGAUAAGAUAAUUUGUAACGGGUAACAAGUAACAAAAGUAAUGAGGUGCAGCAAGGUGGCCCAAUCCUUUUUGUAGAAAAGGACAAGCCUGGACGAACUCUUAUAUAAAGCAAAGCGCUCCCGAGGACACAUGGGAAUUGUUGUCAUGUUCGUUUUCAUCAUGCUCAUAUGAUUCACGUUCAUUACUUUGAUAAUUUGAUAUGUGGGUGGACCGGUGCUUGGGUGUUAUCCUUACUUGGACAAACCUCCCACUUAUGAUUAACCCCUCUUGCAACCAUACGCAACUACGAAAGAAGAAUUAAGAUAAAUCUAACCAUAGCAUGAAACAUGUGGAUCCAAAUCAGCCCCUUACGAAGCAACACAUAAACUAGGGUUUAAGCUUCUGUCACUCUAGCAACCCAUCAUCUACUUAUUACUUCCCAAUGCCUUCCCCUAGGCCCAAAUCAUGGUGAAGUGUCAUGUAGUCGACAUUCACAUAACACCACUAGAGGAAAGACAACAUACAUCUCAUCAAAAUAUCGAACGAAUACCAAAUUCACAUGAUUACUUAUAACAAGACUUCUCCCAUGCCCUCAGGAAUAAACGUAACUAAUCACAAAGCAUAUUCAUGUUCAUAAUCAGAGGGGUAUUAAAUAGCAUUAAGGAUCUGAACAUAUGAUCUUCCACCGAAUAAACCAACUAGCAUCAACUACAAGGAGUAAUCAACACUACUAGCAACCCACAGGUACCAAUCUGAGGUUUUGAGACAAAGAUCGGAUACAAGAGAUGAACUAGGGUUUGAGAGGAGAUGGUGCUGGUGAAGAUGUUGAUGGAGAUUGACCCCCUCUCGAUGAGAGGAUUGUUGGUGAUGACGAUGGCUUCGAUUUCCCCCUCCCGAAGGGAAGUUUCCCCGGCAGAACAGCUCCGCCGGAGCCCUAGAUUGCUUCUGCCCAGGUUCCGCCUUGAGACGGCGGCGCUUCGUCCCGAAAGCUCUCUCUUGAUUUUUUUCCAGGUCAAGAGACAUCAUAUAGAAGAAGAUGGGCACCGAAGGCCCGCCAGGGGGCCCACAAGCCACAGGGGCGCGCCCAGGGGUAGGGCGCGCCCCCCAGGCUUGUGGCCUCCUGGUGGGUCCCCUCUGGUAUUUUCUUCGCCCAAUAUUUUUUUGUAUAUUCCAAAAUAAUUCUCCGUAAAUUUUUAGGACUUUUGGAGUUGUGCAGAAUAGGUCUAUCAGCUUUGCUCCUUUCCGGUGCAGAAUUCCAGGUGCCGGCAUUCUACCUCUUUGUGCAAACCUUGUAAAAUACGAGAGAAGAGGCAUAAGUAUUAUACCAUAAUGUGUUAUAACAUCCCAGAAUGCAAUAAAUAUCAAUAUGAAAGCAUGAUGCAAAAUGGACGUAUCAACUCCCCCAAUCUUAGACCUUGCUUGUCCUCAAGCGGAAGCCGAAAUCGAAAAAUAUGUCCACAUGUUUAGAGAUAGAGGUGUCGAUAAAAUAAAAUACAUACAUGAGGGCAUCAUGAUCAUCUUUAGAACAACAACAUAUAUUGUCAUAUAAUUUCUUAUGCCAAAGUAAUAAUUCAUCCACAAGGUAAAGUAUGAAUCACAAAACUUUAUUGAAAACCAACAAACUAUGAUCUCAGUCAUUGAAACAAUUGCAAUUUAUCAUAAUGUCGGAAAGUCAAUGUAAGAGCUUUUUGUAUAGCAAGUCCACAUACUCAACCAUCUUUUAGUCUUUCACAAUUGCUAACACUCACGUGGUACUUAUGAGUUCAAAGCCUCAGUCGGACACAGAGAAAGAUAGGGGCUUAUAGUUUUGCCUCCCAACCUUUUACCUCAAGAGUAAUGUCAACAAUAAUACUUUAUGAUAACCUACAUCCGAGUGGAUAUAUAUAUAUAUAUAUAUCUAGAUCUUUCCCCAACACAUAGCGCUUGCCAAAAAGAAAAGGUGUAAAAAGGAAAGGUGAAGAUCACCAUGACUCUUGUAUGAGGGUAGAAGGUAAAAGUAAAAGAUAGGCCCUUCGCAGAGGGAAGUGGAGGUUUUCAUGCGCUUUUAUGGUUGGAUGCACAAAAUCUUAAUGCAAAAGAACGUCACUUUAUAUUUCUUCUUGUGAUGAAGAACUUUAUUAUGCAGUCCGAUGCUUUUAUUUCAUCCAUGUCACAAGUUCGUAUAAAGCUUAUUUUCUCCACACUAAAAGAUCAUACAUAUCUAGAGAGCAAUUUUUAUUGCUUGCAUCGAUGACAACUUACUUGAAGGAUCUUACUCAAUCCAUAGGUAGGUAUGGUGGACUCUCAUGGAAAAACUUGUUUAAGGGAUGUUUGGAAGCACAAGUAGUAUCUCUACUUGGUGCAAAAGAUUUGGCUAGCAUAAGAGGGAAAGCAAGCUCAUGUUGGAUGAUCCAUGAUAAUAUAUCUUCUAUUCCGAUAUAAGAAAACAUAACCCAUUAUGUUGUCUUCCUUGUCCAACAUCAACUUUUUAGCAUGUCAUAUUUUAGUGAGUGCUCCCAAUCACAAAAGAUGUCCAAGAUAAUAUAUUUAUAUGUGAAACCUCUCUUUCUUUAUUACUUCCUAUUAAUUGCAACAAGGACCAAGACCAUGUUUGUCAACUCUCAACAACUUUUAUUCAUCGUACUCUUUAUAUGUGAAGUCAUCACUCUCCAUAAGAUCAUUAUAUAAUCUUUUUUUUCUUUUUUUUCUUAUUCCCUCAAGAUCAAAGCAAGAAAGCAAAGCCCUCAACUCAAAACUACUCUUUAUUAUAUAACUCACUGACUCGAUUACAUAGAUAGGUCUCAAAGCAAAACUCAAAGCUAGAUCAUACUAAAACUUUUACUCUACUAGAUCAAGAUAUAACCAAAAGGAUCGAACUAAGAAAAGCGAUAAAGGUAAAGAUGUGAUGGUGAUACGAUACCGGGGCACCUCCCCCAAGCUUGGCAGUUGCCAAGGGGAGUGCACAUACCCAUGUAUUUAGAUCUCUUUCUUCGGAGGUGGUGGUGACGGUGCUUAUGAUGUUGUAGACUUGUCCUCCAUUUUCCAGGGCAUAGGCUCACCAUCAUAGAAAGAUGAACGAGUCUCCGGGAUCCUCAAAUCUGCAGCCAAACUCAUCCUCUUAAAUUUGUAUUCAUACUCACAGUUUUGGUUUUGCAGGUCAUAGAUCUGGGCUUGGAGAUGCUCGGUUUUCUUGUGAAGCUUGAAGAUGGCCUCUCCGAUAUUCUUGGCGUCCAGAGCCGGACCAGACCCUCAUCACAAACCAAGCGCGGGAAUACCUCGUAGCUAAAGAAUGACUAUGCGGAAAAAAUCCCAACAACUGGUGCAACUGGAGGAAGGUAAGAUGCUUAUCGAAAGCUAGAAUGGCCCUCGACACCUCGGAUUCAGUCUAAUAAAUCAAGACUUAAGGAGGAUUCAUUAAACCUUUUUCAAGACUGGCGACCCGAGAGGAAGAACAAGAACCGAGGCGCGUCCAGACUUGAAGACCGGUUCAGGGGCUACUGAUGGUGUGCUGGUCGGGGGUCUCUCAACACGUCGUCUUCCGGCCUGGAGGGCCAGGCCGAUGACCCCCAUGCCGGUUCACCAGUGGGCCAUGUUGAUGCGACCCAUUGCGAAUGAAAGGAAGAUUCUCGAAGGCUUGACGUACACGCCAAGAUAUUAGAAGUCUUCUACAACACGGUCUCCUUGCACGUAACCGACUAGGAUGUAUUCCUAGGCCCCCCCUUACCUAUAUAAAGCAAGGGGUAGUGCUCGUAGACGACACACAAUAAUCUCCGAGUAGAUAGACUGUACUUUGUACUCCCUCCCAAAGCACUAAAGCACAAGCAUGACAUAGGGUUUUAUCUCCAUGGAGAGCCCAAACCUGGGUAAAAACCCAUAUCCUUUUACCAUUGUCUCAAGACCCUUAGUUCAGGACCCCUACUUAAGAUCUGCCAGAUUUAGCUCUGUCACCAGGCAUCCUCCCAAAAUCUAGUUUUGCAAUCAUCACCCGCAGCUUUCUGACAAAAUAUAUAAAAUAUAUUCUUUAACUUCCAUCAAGCCAUUCUAGAAAUGGGAGUUGCUAGGAGAUGGUUCACAUUGAGCCCAAAGCACUAAAACACAAGCAUGACGUAGGGUUUAUCUCCAUGGAGAGCCCAAACCAGGUUAAAAACCCAUGUCCUUUUACCAUUGUCUCAAGACCCUUAGUUCGGGACCCGUACUUAAGAUCUGCAAAUUUAGCUCUGUCACCAGACAUCGUCCCAAAAUCUAGUUUUGCAAUCAUCACCCGCAGCUUUCUCACAACAUCUAUAAAAUAUAUAUCUUUAACUUCCAUCAAGCCAUUCUAGAAAUGGGAGUUGCUAGGAGAUGGUUCACAUUUAGUCAAAGUUUUCUUUUUCAAAUAAUUCGUUCUAAUCAUCUCCUGCCAAUCUCCCUCCUCGUUUUCUAGUCUCCAAAGCCAUUUGCACAAAAGACUUAUAUUCUUAAUAUCAAAAUUAGUAACUCCCAGGCCACCCUGAUCCCUAGGUUGGCACACAUCAUUCUAGUUUAUCAGAUGAUAUUUACACACACCUUCUUUUUCUUUCCAGAUCAAUCGAGCCCGGGAGAAAAAAUAAAUAUUUUACCUACGCCAUUUGGUAAUCUAAAAAAGGAGCAUGUGGCUAGGAAUGUUACUCAUGCAAGUUGCUACAAGGAUUAGCCUACCCCCGCAUAGGAAGCAAGCUCCUCUGCGAUGUACCUGCUUUUCUUUCAAAUUUCUCCUUUCCAGUUUUUCAAUCCUUAUUACCAAGCCUCUUAUAAUGCAAAGGAAGACCCAUAACCAAAAGGAAAGUCCCCAAUAGCACAAGUAAAAAAUCUGAGCAUAAUCCUUCCGUUUUAGUUUUGCCCCACCAAAACAUUAAACCUCGCUUGUUAGAAAAGUAAUCAGUGUUUGGAUGAAGGACCCCCUGACCAAAUUAUUACUAGUGAUCUAACGCUUUUAUAUUUUUUUCACAGAGGGAGUAUCAUCUUGUAACGAUGAUCACUUUGCAAUAAAGGGUUGUUUGAUGCAAGAAAAAUAGUGGUGUUAACUCAUUUUUAAUCAACUAGAACAAUGUCCGUGCGUUGCAACGGGAUAUAAAAUAUUCUGUUUUGCUAAAUCACAUUUAGAUGUGCUCUAAGUAUUGCACAUCUAAAUUCUAUGUCAUUGAUUUUACGCUAAGAUUCAUGCAAGCAUUUUCUUUGUCUCUUUUCCUUUUCUUUCUAGAUUGAUUGAGUUACUUUGACGUGCGAUAACUAGGCAAUAAAUAUUCUAAUACGUUAGUUUGUGAUUUACCUGUCAACAAUAAUGCAAUUGUGUAAAUAAAUGUUCAUCAAAUUCUGAUCGUGAAUUAACUUAUAUUUUGAUUGAAAGUUUGUAAGUAAAUUAAAGAGAAACUGGUUAAAUUGGAAGGUUGAAAGGUUGGACGAAGGGGUGAUGAGAAGAAAGGUUAAAUUAGAAUCUUACGUUCUUUUUAAGUAGAGUAGCAUAGAGACAGAAAUAAGUCUAGUCUAUGGUCCUGUUUGGAUACUCUAACUCAGUUAGAGGUUAGAGUUAGAUUCUAACUCUGAUCUAGCACUGAACUAACUCUAGCCAAAGAGGUGUUUGGAUGGCAGGGUUAGAUGAAGCGCGUAUGGCGAGGCGCCUUCACGGACGGUGUGAGAGGGAGGGAGGGAGAGGACGAGAAGCUUCGAGAAAGUGGGGAGGGAUCUGCUGCGGGGAGAAAAGUGUUUUUAGUGGUCCCGAGAAGAACUAACCCAAAUAAGCACCUCUUGGGUAGGUUAGAUUUUUGAACGGGUUAGAUGCAUCUAACCCAAACUAACUCUCCAGUUUGUAUAUUUUUGGGUUAGUUCAGUCCAAACUAACCCAAACUAACUCUAACAAACAGGGCUUAUGAGGUAAAACUUUAAAACGUCACAUAACGGCUAGCGGACGCGCGGCAACCAGCCCAUAUUCUGCGCUUCUCUCUCCGGGUUCUGGGUCGUUCUGCGCGCAUGGGUAGAGCCCCAACGGCUCUCUCCCCACAACGGUGCCGUUUAGACAGACACAACAAUGCAGCGCUCGGGGGUAGCCCACCGAGCCACGUGAACGCGUCCGACCAACUGGCGACACCAACCCCCACAUGGCCCCGCUGGCCCACUGCCAGUUGAGGCGCCACACCCGCACCCGCACCUCCUCCCCUCCCCCUCCCCGCCGCUUCUCCCCUCCCUCCUUUUCCUGCGCUAUUUAUCACCGCCCUCGCUGCGUGUGCCACUCCCAUCGUAAAGCCACACAAAGAAAGAGAGGCAGUCAGAGCAGAGCAGAGCCGAGCCUUCGCCCUCGCCCUCGCCCCAGAGAGCGAACGCACACACACAGCCGCAAUGGCGCGCGCCGGCGCUCUCUGCCUCGCGCUGCUCUGCCUCCUCGCGGCGCACUCCGCCGUCGCCCAGAAGGCCACGGCCCCGGCCGCCGCGCCCACCACCACCACCCCCACGCCGGCGGCUCCCGCCAAGAAGACGACCGCGCCCGCCGCGGCGCCGACNNNNNNNNNNNNNNNNNNNNNNNNNNNNNNNNNNNNNNNNNNNNNNNNNNNNNNNNNNNNNNNNNNNNNNNNNNNNNNNNNNNNNNNNNNNNNNNNNNNNNNNNNNNNNNNNNNNNNNNNNNNNNNNNNNNNNNNNNNNNNNNNNNNNNNNNNNNNNNNNNNNNNNNNNNNNNNNNNNNNNNNNNNNNNNNNNNNNNNNNNNNNNNNNNNNNNNNNNNNNNNNNNNNNNNNNNNNNNNNNNNNNNNNNNNNNNNNNNNNNNNNNNNNNNNNNNNNNNNNNNNNNNNNNNNNNNNNNNNNNNNNNNNNNNNNNNNNNNNNNNNNNNNNNNNNNNNNNNNNNNNNNNNGGUCGAGGCUCCCGUCGCCGCUCCUCCUGCUCCCGUCGCCGAGGCACCCGCCACCAUCCCCACCAAGCCCGACGCCCCCGCGCCCGCCCCGGCCAAGAAGAAGAAGAAGUCGUCCUCCAAGAAGAAGAAGAGCAAGGCCCCGGCCCCCGCUCCCGUCGCCGCCGAGGCCCCCACCAAGUCCAAGAAGGCCAAGGCCCCCGCGGCCUCCGACGACUCCGAAGCCCCCGGCCCCGCACUCGAUGCCGCCGCCGACGACACCGCGGUACGUCUCAAUCUCCACCCUCUAUACUACGCCAUCUGAACCGACAGUGCCCGUCGAAGUUUCACAACUCCUCUACGCACGACCGGCGGCGCAACUGAUACUGCGUAGUUUCUUUUUCUUUUGGCAAAGAACUGCGACGUAGUUGGACACGACGCCGAACUUUGCCCGCUGUUAGUAGUAAAAUAAUUAACUAUGCUCUUACUUACAGUGGCUACUUAGUUUAGUUACAUCUAUGAGUGCUUAGAUGGCUAAUUAAGUAAUUAGUGCCAUAAUGGCAUGCUCAUUAGUAGGACCAUAGCUUUGUUUGGCGCCACCAAACAUGUGACUAGGGAAAGGGAAGUGACUGAUGAGUGAGAACAGUGGCGGUGGUAGAUGCGUUCGCAUUUGGCCCGUCCCGACAUGUUGGCCAGGCACGCAUGUGCAUCAUGCCGUUGCUACGGACAGAGCAGUUAAUGGAAAAUAAAUAAAAGAAUUACUAAACAUUUCAAAAGUCAAGCUUCCGCCAGUCACUGCAACCACUACUACUGUUAUACAACUCGGAGCGUGUACUGCGCCCGUAACCAAUGCAUUCCGGAAGCCUCCACGACACUGCUCCCACUCUUAAUCAGACAUUAUUUUUACUGCCACUGGAAAUCACUGACUAAAAUUUGCCUCGUUCGUUCUGCAGGGCGCGAUCCAGAGCAUGGCAGGGAGCAUCAUGUCGGCGUGCGCGAUGGCGCUGGGCCUCCUCGCCCUCCUCGCCUAGACGAGCAAAGCCGGUGAGCGCGGGAGGCCAGCCGGCCCCGUCGAGACCCGGCACGAGAACACGCAAUCAUGCGGCGGCCGCUGCGCCGCGCCUUUUGACGAGCUGUCUGUGUCCGUGUCUGUGCAUGCCACCACAUUUUGCGCUGUAUCUCGUGUCUAUUUUUUCUAACUGGCUGGACGGGCCGGCAUCUCCUCCUCCUCCUUCCUGUGUAGUCCCAUUACUCACGCACGUCCGCCUCGGAUUCUUUCUUCCUGUGUACCAAAUUGAUGAGAUUUGAUUUAUAUUUUUAUUACUACCCCUCAUUGUAUUAUUCCAUCAUUGUUUAAUCAUAGAUCUGUCUCUUUCAUCAUGCGCGCGUGCACUGUUUGUUGUGGGUGUGUCCCGUCCUGUGCUGUGCUGGCCAGAUCUGGUUUUGGUUCGAUGUGUAUGCCGCUUGCAUCUGACCUGGACCUGGACCUGGACCCGGACCAGUAACACGGCAACGGAAAUGGG